UCAGUAGUGUCAAACCCACAUCUUCUCUGCCAUCUUCUACAUGAACUGCUUUGUAAAAAGUGGAAAAUUGUUGCUUGUAAUGUUGAUGUGCAGACUACCAAAUUGGGAAAUUUUCGAUCAUGGUGAAACUACAUUGUACAAAGUGAAUCAUAUUAGUAAUGUCUCCCAACUCUCAAAUUGUUGCUUGUUAUAUUAAUUUGCAAACUACCAAAUUGGAAAAAUUUCAAUCAUGAUAUGAUUGUGAGAAUUGAUGCAUGAUUGCAGAUGGCUACCAAACCGUAAAAUUUCAACAUUCAAAAGAUUUAUUUUGUACGGGCAGGUUUGAUGCAUGAUUGCAGCUGCAUGUAGGUUUCGGUUUGUCCAAGAACUGUGUAUGUAUACCGAUAAUGAUUACUCCCUCCGUGUCUUUCAUUUAGUACAAUUUUAUACUUAUUUUGGGACGGGGGAGUACUCUGUUUUCAAAUGGCGCCUGUUGUGCACAUGAUAACUGUGCGUGUAUAAAUUAGUAUCAGGUUGCCUGCACAUUGAACUUAUAAUUCUUUUUCUGAAUAAUGUGUCAUAUUUUGAUUCCUGCCAAAAUGACCAUUGCUAUUUGCUUUCUAGACAUCUUGUAUGUGUCUUGUGCUGAUAAUAAUUUUUAUUUUUCUUAGGAUUCGAUAUGCUUGUGAAGGGUACAUUAUGAUUUACGAGCAUGUAAUCUUCUCUGAUAAUCAAAGUGCUGCAUAGUCUUGUGUGCAUUCAUCAGAGCUAUUCCACAAUCUUGUCCCCACUUAUGCCUUUUUACACUUUUAUAUGUGUAGCUUUUAAUUUUUUUAAUACAUUGAUUCUUUUCUUUUUUAAGUCUUCAUGUGUGCAGAAUUACUUCUGCGGUGAGUCGGAGUGUGAUGUCUUCUCACGGGCUACUGUCAUCAAUCAAGGUGGUCAUCGGCGAUAUCAAGCUUGACGAGUACUUCCUGAAGGCUGAUGUCUGCUCCCGUCGCGUCGCUGACCGAGGCCCCAUCUCCAUGGGAAGCUGCUAUUUUUUUGUUAGAUUGGCAGUGAGAUGCUUGGAUAGGAGAAAAGAAACCAGAAGUGCAUGAGAGAUAGAUGUUGAGAACCUAAAUAAUGCACACACAUUUACAUAUUUCAUGUGAUGGUAGUACGUCGUCGUAGUUUUCGUGUUGGUUGUCCUACUAAAUGUUACUAUCAGUCCUAACUCAUCACAUCACUCUCAAUUUUCAGUCAUGCUUGGAGCUUUUAUCUGUAAUUCUACAAAAUCAGAAAGCAUUUCUAAGCCUCAAGGUAAUGUUGAAACUUAGAGGCGAUCAAAUCAUAUGCUUUUUGGGCUGUAAAAGCUUAAACUAACUAUUGCUUUUUGGGCUGUACGAGUUUAAACUAACUAUUGCUGACUUCCUGGCUUUGAAUUUUCAGUUUUUUUUUGCAAAAGUUUGUAUUUGUCCAUGGUCAAGAUAUAGGGCACAUAGAGCUUGGUUUGUUAAGCUUUUUUAUAUUCUCAAAGAGGUCAGGAGUUCCUCUUGAGAAGGAAGAGGAUAGCCUUUAACUCAACCUACCCCUUCAGAGGGAACUGCUUGAACUCAAGAUGCUUCUCCCGGUCAUUUGAUCGAUACAGAAAUAACCUUUUAUGAGAGUGACCUAAACAUUAGAUGCUUUGCAUUAAACAUACCUCUCUUGUAGGUCUCUUUUUCUUUUGGUUUGGGAGUAGUAUAUGUUGUUUGAGAGGGUCUAUUUUUUCGAGAAAAUAUGAUUUUGUUCUUUGUUUCUAUACUUAUCGGAGUUCAUGUUUCUUUUCAGUUAGUUGUGAGACGUACUUCAUAAGUUUCCAUUCAAAAAGGAGAUCAAAUAAUUUUUUGAAUCGUUGACAUAAUAAAUGAAAUACAAGAUUUUGAAUAGGGUUUGCCCACACAGCACUGUGAAAAAAGGUAAAGGGAAAGGAAGGGUGAGGAGAAUAAAGUGAUGCAAGGGGGGAGUUUUUAAAGACAUACGAUGAUUGCCUAGGAAGAAAUAAGAGGGAGAGAAUCAAUUUGUCCAGGAAUUGAAACCAGUCCUAUCAUAUCUGACACGCAUUUUUUAAUUCAAUUUUUUUAUCAUAAUGUGGUUUUUUUAUCCGUGACAACGUACGGGCAUCCAGCUAGUAAGAAUAACAUCUGGAUCUGGAAAAGAACUACGGGAGGUCUUUUUUUUAAUUUACUACAAGAGCUCUUUUUUUAGCGCUGAUAUCUGUCACCCGUGUGGAGGCUGAGCACUUCGCCCGAACGCUUCAUUCGGUGCAAGCGAUCCCUCCUUCCGAACGAAACACGUUCGGUGCAAGCGAUCCCUCCUUCCGAACGAAAACAUUCGGUACCAGCGAUCCCUCUGUCCGCACGGAUGGGGAACCUCCUAGCCCGAACCAGCUAAGCUUUUUUCGGCUGGGCUACCUGGCCCAACCAAUAGCGCCACUAAUUAUCAUUUAAAAAACCCUAUUUUCUGACCAAAAAAACAAAGAAACCACAGAAUCUAGAAAAUCACCAUGCUAUACUCCAAAAACAUGAAUGAAAACUUUGUAGGUCAAAGGCAAGUCUAUAGAAAACUACUUAUAUCAAGAAAAUAUGUACACAAAAAAAUGGCAAAUAAAUUGCUCAUAUUGCAAAUGACGAUUGUACUGUAAAAGCUAAAUUUUCCCAUGAAGAAAAUAAAUUGCCAUGGUUAUGAAAAUAAAUUUGCCAUGGGUGCAUGAAAAACUAAAGUAGCCAUGGGUACGAAAAUCAAAAUUGACAUGUCUUUAAAAAUAAAUUUGCCAUGAUAGUAAGAAAAACAAAAUUUGUCAUUGUCAAUUAAGAAACUAAAUUGUCGCGGGACUCACAAUAAGUUGCCAUGGGUAUAAAAUUAAAUUGCCAUGUCUUUGAAAAUAAAUAUGCCAUGGUCGAGCGGUUGAGUUUGCCAUGGCCUAAGAAAUUAAGCAAACUCUGAUUCAUGGCAAUAUAGAAAAAUGUGUGACAUGGCAAUUUUUUAUUUUUUAUCUUUAGCCGAUGGCAAAUUCAGAAAAAUUUGUGCCAUGGCAACUUUAAAAAAAACUUGUUAUGAACAUAGUUCAUUGUUAUGGUAAAACAAUAUCUAAAUCAUGGCAAAAUGAUCUAAAAACAAUCUCUAAAUCUUACGAUCUCUAAAUAUGUAGGUGUUUUGGAAACAAAAAGAAAAAUUGCCAUGUGCUCACAUAUGAAUUUGUUGUGUGCUCAUAUAUGAAUUUGCCGUGCUACGAAACAAAAGCAUAAAGAAAGAAAAAAUGUUAUGAAUGUGCCAUGUGACCAUAAGCGAAUUUGUCAUGUGAAAAAAAUUGAAUUUGCCAUGUUAUGAAGCCCAUAGAAAUAUUUACCAUUAUCCAUUGCAAACAUGUAUAAAAAUCCUAUGAAAAAAUCGAGGCAAUAAUUGCCAUGUGUGAAAAACCUAAAAGGAGCGCACAAUUUGCUAUGGAAAAAGUCAUCGUUGGCUUGAUUUUGUGUCACUACAAAAAAUAAUUGAAUAAUAAUUCUGCUUGAAACUUUUUGAUAAAAGUGAUGGCAACUAUAUGUGUGCUAAAAAUUGCCAUGAUCCAUAAAACAAAUUUGCCAUGUGCUCAUAUAUGAAUUUGCCAUGUGCUCAUUUAUGAAUUUGUCGUGGUACAAAACAAAAAGCCUAAAGAAGGAAAAAUGUUAUGAGUGUGCCAAGUGAACAUAAGCGAAUUUGCCAUGUCAACAAAAAUGAAUUUUCCAUGUUAUGAAGCCCAUAGGAAUACUUACCAUUAUCCAUGGCAAACAUGUAUAAAAAUCCUAUGCAAAAUCAAAGCAAUAACUACCAUAUGUGAAAAAAUCUACAGUAGCGCAUAAUUUGCCAUGGCAAAAAAUCGUCGUUGGCAAUGCAUAUUAAAAAAAUGCUGUGGUUUUCUUUACCAAAUUCGCCAUGCUUUAUGAAGAAAAUUUGCAAUGAAAUGUGAAACAAUACAAAAAAUGAUAAAGCAUUGCCAUGGAAAAUGUACAUUCAAUUUUGUCAUGGUGUUUUUACCAAAAACGCAAUCUUGUGUGUAAUAAAAUUGCCGUGUAUGUGAAAAUAACACAAAAAAAUUAUCAAGAAAAUUGCCAUGACAAAAUUCAUAUUCAAAAUUUGCCGUGUUUUUUUUAUCAAUUUAACCAUGAAAGAAAUUUGCCAAGAAUGUGAAGUAAUAAAAAAUUGAUCAAAUGUUGCCAUGGCAAAUGCAUGUUCCAUUUUGCCCUGGUAGUUUCACCAAAAUUGCCAUCUUUUGCGUAAUAAAAUUCCCAUGUAUGUGAAAUAACACAAACAAAAUGAUCAAACAAAUUGCCAUGGCAAAUGCAUAGUCAAAAUGCCAUGGCACAUGGAGUAAUAAUGGCAUGGUACAUGAAAAAAGGAUGCCAUGUUCUAUGGAUUAAAUUUGCCACAAUAGUAACAUUGAAAUUGCCAUGUUCAAUUUUUCAUGGUGUUUUUACCAAAAAUGCCAUCUUGUGCGUAAUAAAAUUGUCGUGUAUGUGAAAAUAACACAAAACAAAUGAUCAAGUAAAUUGCUGUUGUAUUUAUUUGGUAGCAUUGCAAAAAUGAUGAGAGGAAAAAUGUGAAUGCAUUAAGUACCUUAUCAUAUGGCAUAUCAGAACACAUGGCAAAAUUUCAUCGCUCAACAUUAGGAUAUUUGCCAUGUAGUUAUUGAGUAGCAUGGCAAAAUGUUAAGUAGGAAAAUGUAAAUACACAUGGGGGAGUUGCCAUCUGCUAUGAAACCAACAGGGAAAAAUUAGGCUUAUUGGACAUGGGGGAGUUGCCAUGUAUAUAUAUUUAGUACCAUUACAGAAUGAUGGGUUGUGGUUGGCAUGAAGAUGGCAAACAUGUAAAAAAAAUCAGUUUCAGCCGGGGCAAUUGAUGGGUUAUGGAGUUGAUGAACUUGCCAAGCAUUUGGUACAGUAGCGUACCAAUUCCUUGUUACCUGUUAACAUACAUGACAAACAUGAAACAUGGCAAAUUUCAGGCUUUUACAGAGAGGGAUCUGCCAUGUAUUUAUUCAGAAAUAUGGAAAAAGAAUGAUGUGUUGUGGUUCGGGAAACAUGGCAAACAAGGCAAGUUCUUACAGUUCCACACAUAGGGCUGGUUGCCAUCUAUUUAUUAAGUAGCAUGGCAAAAUGAUGAGAGGACAAAUGUAAAUGCAUUAACUGCCGUAUCAUAUGACAUAUCAGAACAUAUGGUAAUUUUCAGCGCCGAACAGUAGGAUAGUUGCCAUGUAUUUAUUCAGUAGCAUGGCAAAUUGAUAAGAAGUGGAAUUAUAAAUACAUUAACAUCAGUAUGAAAUGGCAGAUCACACAAAACACACUUUUCAGCUACAAUUUUUUCGUGAAUGUGCAUACAUAUGAAAGAUAAUGCGUAGAAUAGCCAUUUUCACAAUAAAAUUUACCAUGGAAGCAACCAUUUCCACACCGGGGCGGGAAACUAAAAACAUUCAGUAGGAAAAUAGCGAACAAACGGGAAAUCAAAAAGGUAGGGUGGGAGUAAUUUGCAGAAAAUCACCACUUUGAAGGCUAGGUUUGCAGAAAACACUACGUUAUAUUCCUUUGCAGAAACCACCACGUCUUGAGUAAUUGUUUUACAAAAACCACUCAUCGGCGGAUCUGCCUCCGUUAAGUGAGAUUAUGACAGAUAGGGCCCACCAGUCAGGCCGAUGUGGCACAAAAUUUUCACACUAUUAAAUUGAAUCGUUUUGCUCCACAUGGCCCAGUUUGUCAGUGCAACACUCCCCUCUUUAGCAUUUCAUCGAGCAUCUGGCGUGCAGCACACAGGUCGACGGUGCCAAGUCGGGGCUUCUCUACCUCGGCCGGGGCGGGGCGGGCGGUCGCAUCUACCUCGCCCAGGGGCGGGAUGAGGCCAUGAUGGCUCGAGCAACAGCAGUAGCACACAAGGCGAGCAGCGGCAGUGAGCAGCAGGGGCGGCGAGCAACAGGCAGUGGGCGCAGCGAGUAGUGAGGUGUGGCACUAGCGGGCGCGGCGCGGGGCGAAUGCAACGACCAGCGAGGCAUGUCAGCGGCGGACGCGACGAGCAACAGCAAGGCGCAGCCCGCGGCGGACGCACCGAGCAGCAGUGAGGUGCAGCCCGCGGCAGAUGCAACGAGCAACAGCGGCGUGACGCACGGUGGACGUGGUGAGCAGACACAGCGAGCAGCAACGAAUCUGGACGAAUUGGUGCAACGACAGGAGGUUGAUGAGCACCAGAUUGUUUUUCCUUUUUUCUUUCGAUGAUAGGUGGACCCCACAGGGCCACACAUGAUGAUAACGUUAGCCAACGUUGCUGUUACUUAUGCGGUGCCACGUCAGCCUGAGUAGCGGGCCCAGUCUGUCAUAAACAUGCUCAAUCGAGCCAAAUCCGUCGAUUAGUGUUUUUUGCAAAAAGAUUGCGCAAGACAUGGUGUUUUUUGUCGAAAAAAUGUAACAUAGUGUUUUCUGCAAACCUAGUCUUCAAAGUGGUGGUUUCCUGCCAUUCACUCCAGGGGGAGGACCUAUGUUUGCGAAGUUACAAGCAUACGAGCAGGUAGUAGCUAGGUAGAUAGCCGGAGUCGGUCAUGCUGACAAUGCCGCAGCGGUGACACCCACGAGAAGAGGAUGGCGCCGGGAGGAGGCUUCAUGCACGAUGUAGACGAAAUUCACCGGAGAAUGGACUUGCUCAAGCCGCCAUCGUGCUUGUACUUCUCCCCGCGCUCGAGGCCGCCCCCGUCUUCCUGCGCUCGAGGCAGCCGCCAUGACCCGCGUCCAAGGCCGCCGCCAUUACCUGCGCUCAAGGCCGCCGGAGGUCGUCACGCGGGCGUCCCCGCUAGGUCGCGCGAGCCACCCCGUCGUCGUCGGUUUGGACGACGACGCAGAGUAGAUCGUCAAGCCUCCAUGCCCGAGCUCCCUGCGGGAGAGAAGCUCCCGAGCGACGGCCACAUCCUCAAAGCCCCCUCUCCCCACUCAAUUUUUGCUCGUACCCUCCUGCACAUCGCGAUCCACGAUGGCGAGGUGCCCAUGGAUGUGACACCCUGGAUUUUGGCCCUUUCUUUUUCUUUUGUUUUUCUUUGGAUUUUUUAUCUGAAUUGCUUUUCUGUGGAUCUGUGGUCCUGAAACCUGGGAAGAUAAUCUCUUCUCAUGCUCCAAAGUGGCUUGUCAUACUCAAAACCAUCCCAAGAUCGUGUCAUUUCCCAUCUUGGACCAAUCCCAAUAUUCUUUUACUUGGGAAUAUUCCUUUUUCUAUUAAAGGAAUAGCCCUGUUUGCCCUAGGUUGUGAAGCAACCUAUGUUUCUGUCUUUCCUAAAAUUCUCAAAUAAUUCUCAUAAAUUGUUUGGAUCAUAUAUGCCCCAAAUAUGUCCAAACUUUCCUUUCCUAGCCCAAAAAACAAUUCAUCAAUAUUCAUUCUUUCAUUCUGUCCAGUGUGGCUUUUUGUGAAGGAAGUGUCACAUAUCUUUUCUUGAUUGCUCCCAGACUUUUUGGGCAUUCUCUAUUAUCAAAAUAAUUGCCACAUGACAAAAUUAAACUUCAUUUGCCUAGUGAAUCUUCCUCAGAAAAUUUCUAAAGUUUAUGUCAGAUGGAAGCCUCGUUGAAGGAAGUACCAGCUAGGAGUAUCCAAAUGAGUUGAAAUUUGGCAAGCUCCUUCAUGUGCCCUAAUCAUGAAUCUUCACCAAUGUUCAGCUCCAUUAAACUAUCUCUGUGAUCACACCUUCAAAUCUUGGUUUCUAGAUCAGAUUUUCAGAGUGUGAAGCAACUAUAUUUUAUAUUGCUUCAUUAUUGCUGAAAAUUUAAUAGGACAUGCUCCUACCCAUAUAAACUCUCUCCACCAAAUUUGGGAUCAUUUCGUUCAUCCAUUAUUUCUCUAGAAUUUUUCUAAAAUUCUGUCCAGAGAGGACCACUGUGAAGGAAGUACCAUUUUGGUGUAUCCAAAUGGUAUGAAAAUUUUACAGUAUAUUUAUACGACCAAAUUAAUCAUCUACACCAAAUGUCAGCUUAAUCCAAUCAUCUAUAUGAGUGAUACUUCAUGAUCUUGAUUCUGGACCAGAUUAUGCAGUUGUAAAGCAACUGUAUUAAGUCUUGGUCCAAAUCCCUCCAAACUUCACAGGUUUCUUGUCCUUCCUACCCUAAACCUCUGAGACAUCUUGUUCUAUCACUUAUCCAUCCCUGUUGAUCACAGUUUCACGCAACAGUUGGAUACAGCAAACUUUAGAGGACCAUUCCCAUCUAACCACAAUGUGUUUCUUCGAGCAAUCACCUUAGGUGUAACCUAGCUUGGAGAGACUACACGAUGGACAUGAUUUUGCCGACCCGAGUGCACCACGUGCGGCAGUUCACACGGCGAUUGCGUGGCUGACAUGCACACCGGCACACUCUGGCAAGUGGAGCCCCCUGUCCUCCCACAUACCUCAUCCUCUCGAGCCUUCUUCGUGUCCUGGAGCUCCCUCGUGAUCUCUUGCUUUGUCCUAUGCCGCUGCCCCAUCCUGUCUCGCCGCCAUUGAAUCGCAUCGAGCUCGCCUGUGACACAAACCUCCCCUGCUCCUCCAUUGUCCGGUCGGUCGAUCCUUCUCGAGCGCUCCCGAGCCCUCCCACGGAUAUAUAUAGCUUGGCGGCGCUCUUCUGCAGCUCACCGCUCUCUUCCCCGCCCUCCUAGCCCACCGGAGCAGCUCCAACUCUCUCUGGUCGUCGUCGUCCGCCAUGGCUGCUGAUAUCUACUAUGCAACCUUCUUCUUGUAGACGUUGUUGGGCCUCCAAGUGCAGAGGUUUGUAGGACAGUAGCAAAUUUCCCUCAAGUGGAUGACCUAAGGUUUAUCAAUCCGUGGCAGCGUAGGAUGAAGAUGGUCUCUCUCAAACAACCCUGCAACCAAAUAACAAAGAGUCUCUUGUGUCCCCAACACACCCAAUACAAUGGUAAAUUGUAUAGGUGCACUAGUUCGGCGAAGAGAUGGUGAUACAAGUGCAAUAUGGAUGGUAGAUAUGGGUAUUUGUAAUAUGAAAAUAUAAAAACAGCAAGGUAACUAAUGAUAAAAGUGAGUGUAAACGGUAUUGCAAUGCUAGGAAACAAGGCCUAGGGUUCAUACUUUCACUAGUGCAAGUCUCUCAACAAUAAUAACAUAACUAGAUCAUAUAACUAUCCCUCAACAUGCAACAAAGAGUCACUCCAAAGUCACUAAUAGCGGAGAACAAACGAAGAGAUUAUUGUAGGGUACGAAACCACCUCAAAGUUAUCCUUUCUGAUCGAUCUAUUCAAGAGUCCGAAGUAAAAUAACAUGAAGCUAUUCUUUCCGUUCGAUCUAUCAUAGAGUUCGUACUAGAAUAACACCUUAAGACACAAAUCAACCAAAACCCUAAUGUCACCUAGAUACUCCAAUGUCACCUCAAGUAUCCGUGGGUAUGAUUAUACGAUAUGCAUCACACAAUCUCAGAUUCAUCUAUUCCACCAACACAUAGAACUUCAAAGAGUGCCCCAAAGUUUCUACGGGAGAGUCAAGACGAAAACGUGUGCCAACCCCUAUGCAUAAGUUCACAAGGUCACUGAACCCGCAAGUUGAUCACCGAAACAUACAUCAAGUAGAUCACGUGAAUAUCCCAUUGUCACCAUAGAUAAGCACAUGCAAGACAUACAUCAAGUGUUCUCAAAUCCUUAAAGACUCAAUCCAAUAAGAUAACUUCAAAGGGAAAACUCAAUCCAUUACAAGAGAGUAGAGGGGGAGAAACACCAUAAGAUCCAACCAUAAUAGCAAAGCUCGCGAUACAUCAAGAUCGUGCCAAAUCAAGAACACGAGAGAGAGAGAGAUCAAACACAUAGCUAUUGGUACAUACCCUCAGCCCCGAGGGUGAACUACUCUCUCCUCGUCAUGGAGAGCGCCGGGAUGAUGAAGAUGGCCACCGGUGAUGGAUCCCCCCUCCGGCAGGGUGCCGGAACGGGGUCCCAAUUGGUUUUUGGUGGCUAUAGAGGCUUGCGGCGGCGGAACUCCCGAUCUAGGUUAUGUUCUGGAAGUUUGGGUAUAUAUAAGAGGUGUUGGCGUCGGGAACAAGUCCGGGGGGUCCCCGAGGCGGCCGCGAGGUAGGGGCGCGCCCAGGGGGUAGGGCGCGCCCCCACCCUCGUGGGUGCCUUGAUACUCUUCUGGCCCAUCUCCGAUACUCCGUGGGCUUCUUCUGGUCCAAAAAUAAUCUCCGUGAAAUUUCAGGUCAAUUGGACUCCGUUUGGUUUUCCUUUUCUGCGAUACUCAAAAACAAGGAAAAAAACAGAAACUGGCACUGGGCUCUAGGUUAAUAGGUUAGUCCCAAAAAUCUAUAAAAUAGCAUAUAAAUGCAUAUAAAACAUCCUAGAUGGAUAAUAUAAUAGCAUGGAACAAUAAAAAAUUAUAGAUACGUUGGAGACGUAUCAGCAUCCCCAAGCUUAAUUCCUGCUUGUCCUCGAGUAGGUAAAUGAUAAAAACAGAAUUUUUGAUGUGGAAUGCUACCUAACAUAAUUUAUCAAUGUAAUCUUCUUUAUUGUGGCAAGAAUAUUUAGAUCCAAAAGAUUCUAGACAAAAGUUUAAUAUUGACAUACAAAUAGUAAUACUUCAAGCAUGCCAACCAAGCAAUUAUGUCUUAUCAAAAUAACAUAGCCAAAGAAAGCUUAUCCCUACAAAAUCAUAUAGUUUGGCCAUGCUUCAUUUUCGUCACACAAAAUGCUCCCAUCAUGCACAACCCCGAUGACAAGCCGAGCAAUUGGUUCAUACUUUUUAACGCGCUUCAGCCUUUUCAACCCUCACGCAAUACAUGAGCACAAGCCAUGGACAUAGCACUAUGGGUGGAAUAGAGUAUGACGAUAGGGGUUAUGUGAGAAGACAAAAAAGGAGAAAGUAUCACAUUGACGCGGCUAAUCAAUGGGCUAUGGAGAUGCCCAUCAAUUGAUGUCAAUGCGAGGAGUAGAUAUUGCCAUGCAACGGAUGCACUAGAGCUAUAAAUAUAUGAAAGCUCAUCAAAAGAAACUAAGUGGGUGUGCAUCCAACUUGCUUGCUCACGAAGACCUAGGGCAUUUUGAGGAAGCCCAUCAUUGUAAUAUACAAGCCAAGUUCUAUAAUGAAAGAUUCCCACUAGUAUAUGAAAGUGACAAAAUAAGAAACUCUCUAUCAUGAAGACCAUGGUGCUAUUUUGAAGCACAAGUGUGGAAAAAGGAUAAUAACAUUGUCCCUUCUCUCUUUUUCUCUCAUUUUUUUUCUCUUUUUUCAUUAGGGCUUCUUUGGCCUCUUUUUUAUUUGGGCUUCUUUGGCCUCUUUUUUAUUUUUUAUUUUUCGUCCGAAGUCUCAUCCCGACUUGUGGGGGAAUCAUAGUCUCCAUCAUCCUUUCCUCACAUGGGACAAUGCUCUAAUAAUGAAAAUCAUCACACUUCUAUUUACUUACAACUCAAGAAUUACAACUAGAUACUUAGAACAAAAUAUGAAUCUAUGUGAAUGCCUCCGGCGGUGUACCGGGAUAUGCAAUGAAUCAAGAGCGACAUGUAUGAAAGAAUUAUGAAAGUGGCUUUGCCACAAAUACGAUGUCAACUACAUGAUCAUGCAAAGGAAUAUGACAAUUAUGGAGCGUGUCAUAAUAAACGGAACGGUAGUUAGUUGCAUGGCAACAUAUCUCGGAAUGGCUAUGCAAAUGCCAUAAUAGGUAGGUAUGGUGGCUGUUUUGAGGAAGAUAUAAGGAGGCUUAUGUGUGAUAGAGCGUAUCAUUGAAAGUGCUAGUUAUCGACUAGAGGGGGGGGUGAAUAGGCGAUUUUUAUGAAAGUCUUCAAAACAUGGAAGUUUCGAAGACAAACAAUAGAAAAGAACCUAUUAACAUGCAGCGGAAGGUAGACUACACUAGGCAAGCCAUAGUCAAGUAUUAAUGAAGUGAAAGCACGAAGACUAAUGGCAGCUAGGUAGUAAUGAUCAGGAUGGAAGAUAGUAUGAAGCCAAACAACAAUAGUAGUCACACAGUGAAGUCAAACAGGUAACGCAAGCAGGCAAUGACUUCACGAAGACAAACUGGAAGUAAAGAGAGGGAGAAGAUAGAACCAGUCGCUUGGUGAGGACAAGGAUUUGUUGGACCAGUUCCAGUUGCUGUGACAACUGUACGUCUGGUUAAGGAGGCUGAGAUUCAACUCAGAAGACCGCGUCUUAACCUUAUUCCCCUUGAGCUAAGGACACCCAGUCCUCGCCCAAUCACUCUGGUAAGUCUUCAAGGUAGACUUACAAACCUUCACAGACUUCGUUCACCGGCAAUCCACAAUGACUCUUGGAUGCUCGGAACGCGACGCCUAACCGGCUGGAGGAUUCACAGUCCUCAAGUGUAACAAGUCUUCAGGUCACGCGGACAGAAAGACUUCAGUGAUGCCUAACACUCUUUGGCUCUGGGUGUUUUGGGCUUUGUCCUCGCAAAGAUUUCUCUCUCUCAAAAGCUUCGGAGGUGGGUUGCUCUCAAACGACAAAAGCCGUGCACUAACUCUAAGCAGCCACCAAUUUAUGGCGUAGGGGUGGGCUAUUUAUAGCCAUAGGCAACCCGACGUGAUUUGUUCGAAAUGACCCUGGGUCACUAAGGAAUUGACACGUGUUCCAACGGUCAGAUUUCAAACACACGUGGCAGCUUGACUUGGGCUACAAGUAAAGCUGACUCGUCCAGCUCUGGAUAAGAUUUGCUCUUAUUGUCUUCAAUCGAAGACAUAGGAUUUGGUUGAGCAUCACUUCAGUCACUCUGACUUUGUUCACUUGGACCCCACUUAACAGUACGGUGGUUCCUAUGACUCAACAAAGAAGAAAAGGAAACUACGAAACAACUAUGUCUUCGCACUCCAUAGUCUUCACGUGAAUGUCUUCUCGAGUCAUAAGCUUCGAUGUGAUUGUCUUCACAUACCACCAUUGUCUUCAAUGUCUUCAUACAUUUUUAGGGGUCAUCUCCGGUAGGUAAACCGUAUUAAUGAGGGACUACUACCUGUGUUAUCCUGCAAUUCUCACAAACACAUUAGUCCCUCAACCAGGUUUGUCGUCAAUACUUCAAAACCAACUAGGGGUGGCACUAGAUGCACUUACAAUCUCCCCCUUUUUGGUGAUCGAUGACAAACUGGUUGAAGUUUUCAACGGGGAUAAAAGUGUGUGAAAUUGUAAAGUAAGAUAUUGUCUUUGUAAGUAGUGAAAGGCUCCCCCUGAAGAUGUGCAUAUAAGUAAUUUUCUUUUGGAAUGCAAAUGCACAUGACAGGUUGUACUUAUGGAGAUCCUCUUCAACUUAUGAAGACAAUUCAUUCAUGCAUGAAAAGAUAUAACGAAGAUAAUGACAUGCAUAAUGAUAAAUGGACGUCUGCAAUAGGACUUUGUGCGGGAUUUAUCAUCGCACAUGCGGAAUUUAUCAUUGCAUCAUAGGAUAGCAGAAAAAGUAGCAGACGACCAUCAAGUUUAAGUGUUACAACUCAAAGAACCAGAAGUAUCAAAAGCGAGAGUUGUAAGCACUUGGCAAAAGUAUAGCAACCACCCAUAUGGACCCGCUUGAAGACUAUCAACUCAUAUGCUUCUCCCCCUUUUGUCAGUAAGGACCAAAAGGUUUGAAGACGUAGAGCCUCUACUCGUUCCCAUGAGGAGUAGGUGAAGCAGCAGGGUCGUCGUUGAGGUUCGGUGGUGCAGAAGAACUUGGUGCAGUGUCGAUGCACGGCGACGUUGUGGUUGGCGAAGUAGCAUCAUCUUCAUCAUCGGUGACUCUUGCGUUGACAGUUCCUGCAGAGGAGGAGUACUCAGAAUCUUCGAGUGAGGGAGUCCGACGCAAGACAACAUUCCUGGGAGGAGUGGAAUCAAAUUUGAAUCUCUAUGUGAAGCCGUCGGUUUGAAGAUCAGCUUUUGCACUGAGCAAUGUCAGACUCUUCCACGAUCUCUGACAGGUUUCGUGAGUGACAAAUGCAUUCUUGGUGGCAAGGUUGCGAAUGCGGUUGACAUCCACCAAGAGGCUUUGCAUCUGACGCUUUAGCCAGUCGUGAUGCUUAUCUUGCUUUUGAUGCAAGGCAACGAGAAGCUCUCGGUCAUUGAGAACACGAGAACGCUUUCGAGGCCUUUGAGCAAUUGUGCUUUCAGUGGCUUCAGUAUGGGCACGAUGAGGUGCACGUGUAUUGCCAGCCAAAGGAUAAACACGAGUGGCAGCCAGAACUCCUUCAAUGGGUUGAGUGAAGCUUUGGUGAUCAGCAUUGUGAAGAUAAAUGGGCUACUUGGCAGGUUCUGGGUAUAUGGCUUCGACAGACAGAUCAACCUCUGGCAAGAAUAUCAGAUGGUUGCGCGCAGACGGCUGAUAGUUGACAGCAGAGUGAAGCUUGAUAAGGCGCAUAACCCAUGGAGCGUAGAACUUCAGACCAAAGAGAUCAGAGCCAGAUGCAGCCAAUUGCCUGAUGAAGAAGUCUUGAGCAUUGAAGCUGAUGCCAUUGAAGAUAUAGAAAACCAAUGUCUUCAUUACUCCUUCAAGCUUUGCUGCAGGAGAAUGUCCCUUGAUAGGCCAUAGAGUUCGCCUGGUAAUAUGAUAAAUAGUGUGGGGCAGAUACUCUAGGUCUUCAACAAAGAAUUCCAUUGGAUAUUCAACGUCGCGUGGCAGUGGCUUCAUCAUGCUCAGCAUUUGGCUCAUGUUGGGCUCAGGCUUCUGGCAGAUGCUCUCCAAAGCAUUGCGGUGAAGCUGACAACCAGGUUCAUAUAGUUCACUUGGAGUGGGCAGACCAGUGAGCUCAAUAAUAUCAAGAGCUUUGGCUUCGUGAUGUACAUUGCCUGUCAUCCACUCAAGGAUCCAUGUCUUCGGAUCCCUGUUGUAGCCGCGAAUGUGGAGGGUGGCAUAGAAUUGCAGCAGAAGCUCUUCGUUCCAGUGCUCUUUAUUAGUCACAAAUUGUAGCAGACCAGCAUUUCGGAAGCAAUCAAGGGCUUCUUCUAGGCAGGGCAAGCCAGCAAUAGCUUCGCAGUCUAGACGCAUAUGGGGAAAGAUGCGCCCUUGAUCAUAAAGAACACAAGAGUAAUAACUGCGUUGCUGAUAGCUCCAGAACCGAUCAGAUGAAAUUCUUGGCUUCGAGUAUGGGUUCUUGUCGCUGUCAAAGAAGGUGUUGUGUGCAAUGAAGCCAUUCACAUUGAAAGAUCAUGGUGAAGUUGCAGUACCUGGAAACCUUGGCAGCCUUGGUUUUGGCUUCUGGACCUGAGGCCUGUGCUCCACAUGAUAGUCGAAUUGUGGUCGGGAGCAGGAGGAGGAACCAGAAUGGGCCAACGAACCAUGACAGGUUGGCCGUGGUCAAAAGCCAUCUCGAUAGUGUGUGGCCUUGGAGGCGGUACAGGAGCAUCGACAUUGACGUGAGCUGCAAGUGGUAUAAUGGCUUCAGGUGCAAUAUUGACUUCAGGUGCAUUAGAAGCUUCAGGCUCAUUAACUUCAGGUGCCACAUUGACUUCAGGCGCCACAUUUGCUUCAGCCAUGACAACGUCAUUGGCUUCAGUAUUGGUGUUGGUGGCCGCAUCAAUGUUAUCAACCUCCACUUGAGUAGCUGGAGGGUCGGACACGUUCUCCUCGAGAACAACUUCUUGGUUGGACGGGGGUGUAGCAACACGUUCUUCUUAUUGACGGGGUUCUUCUUGUUCAUCGGCCGAUGCAGCCGGAAUGUCUUUAGCAGCUUUGGCUUCAGACUCUAAGAUGUUCACAGUUGGAGUGGCUUCAGGAAACACUUGGCGUGAUACUGAGUGGUGGUGCUCUUCUCCUUCUGGAACACUCGAAAGAGUGACUUGGGGCCUUGCUCCUUUAUGAAGCCUACGAAAUGCGGGCGACACUUGUGGAGAGGGAGUUGGCUGGGCCUCAAAGUCGUCAUCAUCAAGCACCGGAGGGGUGACUUGAGUUGGGGGAGUACUUGGUGAUUCUUCUUCACGGGGGGAGUCUUGAGGGUGAUCAGCCCAUGAAUCAUCCUGAGCAAUUGGCGUCAGAGGACGACCAAUGCUGAUGAGUUCACUGUUCGUGAGAACAGGCGAUGAUACCAUUUGGUGCUCGAUCUGAGGAAGGACUUCAUCAUCAUCUACAUUGUCUUGGGGACCAAUGUCUUCAACUGCGGUGUGGUCAAUAGCUGGAUCUUCUUGAGCUUCAGGAGCCUCUGUGGUAGCAGGCUCGUGAACUAUCAAACGACGCUCUUGAUGUGUGGACGCAGGAUGAGCAACAUAGAUUAGCUCGACGACAAGGGGCUCCGUGGGAGCAGCCCGAUCUUUCUUCUUUGUCUUUCUUUUCUUGGUUGGUGGAGCAUCGUCAGUGGUGUUCUUGGACUUGCGCUUUCUAGCUUCGGCUUCAGCUGUCCUUAUUUUCUUGAGCUCUGAAGCUACUGUGGGGACCUUUGGCUUCACGCCUGUCAUACUGGCGGGGAAGACAAUGCGAGGUUCUUCCUGCCUGGAUGCUUCAGCUGGGGCCACAACAGGCUUCUUCUUCUUGGCAGCCAUCUUGGGGUCGAUGCCAGGACGCCCAAGUGCCUUGCGCUUCUCGGCUUCAUUGUAAACUUGAACACAUUUGGCAGCAAGGAGUUUCAUGCGCUCUCGUGAACCUUUAGCUUCGUCACGUUUCUUGUGAAACGCCUCCUUGAGCUCAUGCAUCAUUUGCUUGAAGUUUUGGACAUCAGUCACACUGAGCUUGGCCAUAUGCUUCUUGAACUGGGCUUUUUCAUAGUCAAUUUUGUUCUUAAGUUCAACAAUUCUCUGAGCUAGAGCCAGCUCAGGAGCAAUGGCUCCGUGGAGGGAGACGCUGAGGCCAAUUGGGAGCUGAAGAUCAUCAAAACUGAGGUUUGGGCUGUCAAACCACUCAUCAAUGAACUUGUUCAGGAUGUCCACAUCGAAAAGGGGAAGAUCGUUGAAGAUUUCCGCCUCUUGCUUGCUCUUUAUCAGCAGCUCGAGAGCAUCAUCGCCAAGGUCAUCAUCACUUGACAGAUCAAUGGCUUCGUUCUCAUUCCUCAGAACGGCAGCUGGGGUCAGUGCUUGACCAGUAAUCUGCAUGGGCUUCUUCCUCUCAGUCUUGGAGAUGCGAGAAAGAUCUUCAGAAUGCACACUUGGUGCAGGAGGAGCAGUGGCCAGAGGCUUCGCACGCGAAGCUCUUGGUGCAGUGGAGGGCUUUGAAGCCUUGGGUUUCUUCUGCUUCUGUGGUUUUGGCAGAGCAAGCGCUUCAUCAGAAUCAGCGUCAUCUGCAGAGUGAUCCACGGCUGCCCCCUGAACGGUAAUAUGCGUGAUGAGACCUUCAAGGUUGUAGAAGGGCCCGAUGAUAUUGGGUUCAGCAUCGUGUGUGCCAUCAGCCCGAGGAGCAGAAGGACCGGGGUUGAAGUCUAAUCCCAGCGAUUUCUUGUUCUCUUUGGCCGAUGCCUUUGCAGUCUGAAAGUUGCGCUUGAAAAGAUUAUCGUCACGACACCAUAGCAAUGAUGAUGGGUCGGCAUUGGCAGGCUGUGGUCCACGGACCAUACAGGGGUAGAAACCCUGAGCAAUAGCUUCAACUCUGUUCUUGGGUUGAAGAUUUCAAAAGAGAAUAUCACCCCAAGGACACUUGAUGGCAUUCUUCUCAGCAUACUCCUGGCUCACGAACCGGUAUUUGAACCAUUGCUCGGCCCAAUAUCUUCGAAUCCACUGGAUUCGAGUUUUGCGCUGAUUGUAAUACUCUUCUGGAUUAGUCUUGUACAUCUCAUAUAGAUCUGGUGGCAAAUCCCUUGAUGUGCCCCCACGGCGCUGCCUGCCGCCCUUCCUUGCAGAUUUUUCUGUGGCCAUGAAGUUCAGAUUGAAUGGCUUCAAAGCUGUCAAAGUCUUCCAUCUGCUGGUCAGACAAGAACUAGCUUCGGGAGAGUUCAUGUGAUGCUGUAAGAAUUCUGCAAAUGAAUGCAGACUAUGAGAACCAAGGGAUUCUCCCACGGACAUGUACCUGUGACAGCAUUAGAGAUGCGAGGGAAGGGGAAGAGGUCAUAUGCAUUCUCAGAAGAUUUUGAAGAUAAAUCAGUUUGAAGACAUUGACCUCAUAGUGCGAAGACAUUCACUUAUAUAUUGAGAGAUGGUUCCAGAUUUGUACGAAUCCAAGAAUAGGUACAAGUGAGGAAUCUAACUAUGUGUGAAGCAUAAGUGAAUAUACUAGGCAUGUUAUGAGAUGGAGAACAGGGUAGAUCCAAAUUUGUGGGGAUAGAAACCACUUUUGGUGAAGAAAGAUGAAUCUAUCGGAUCAAAAAGGCAGUAAAAGUGAGUUUUAAUUACCACACGAAGAACUGCUAGACGGAGUAGAGAGGAGGCCGAGCAGUUCGAUCUUCCGUGCCCUAACUUGGCGACGGAGGACACCUACGGCGGCGGCGGCGGAGAAGACGAGGUCCGCGGCCGGCGUGAGGACGGCGUCGGUGAGGUCGCGACAGCUAAGCACUUCGUCGCCGGCGUCGUCUAGAGCUAGUGGUGGUGCUAGGGUUUGUCGAGGUGGAGAGGUGGAAGAAAGAUUUUGACCGCGAUGUGAUGUGUAUAUAUAAGGAGAGUGACAGCACAACGCAAUUACGCAGGUGCCCCUAGCAGUUCACAUCUGAGGGACACGUGAGAACAUGCAACACAUUGGAAGUUGUUCCAUGUUCCCACGCACGCCUGGAGUGUCGGGUGGUCGUUCCGGCUUCUCCGGGUUUCAGGCAAUAAGGAUUGAGCAUUUAAAACAGAUUCAAUGUUUGUCUCUGUAUCUUCUGCUGACAAGGACACAGAGAAGACAUUCGACGGUUUCAAUAGACUGCAUGUGAUUUGGAUAGAUAGAAUUUGAGGAAGAAGCAUAGAAGAGGUUAGGGUCCGAUCACAUUCACUUAGUUCAAAAGAUUCAAACGAGAAGACAUAGCUAUAAGUGAAUGCUGUAGAGGAUAGAACACAAAUAUAUGUAUAUAUCUGAGUAAGACUAAAUCAACAAAGUGAAGAUCAUCAUGAAGACAAAUCAAUGUUGAAGAUAAAUCAAAUGCGAAGACUUAGCAAAUGUAAUGCCAAGAGAAAACACUCCAAACAAGAAUUUGGUGGUGGCGUUACCCACCGUGUAGGAAGUAUUAGACCCAGACACGGCACACAAUUAUCAUGGCGCUCCGAAGUCAAAUUCCGCAUUAAUGUAUUCACACUCAGAGUGUAAGUCUUCAUUGAUUGAAGAUUUACAUUACUUCGUGUGUUGCACAUCUAUGUCAUCAACAUGCAUAAGUGUUAGGAUGUGUGCCUAAUCACAGGACAUUCGAGGAUUCCAAGAUAUUUAGCUCACACCGCAACUUGCAAAACCUUUUCUCAUCCAAGGGCUUUGUGAAGAUAUCUGCCAAUUGCUCUUCAGUGUUGAUGUGAAUGAUAUCAAUAUCUUCCUUCAUGACAUGAUCUCUGAGAAAGUGAUGACGAAUUUCAAUGUGCUUUGUCUUCGAGUGCUGAACUGGGUUGUUGGCAAUCUUGAUACGCUUUCAUUGUCGCAGUAGAGUGGUACUUGCUUCAGAUGGAUGCCAUAGUACUUGAGUGUUUGCUUCAUCCAUAGAAGCUGAGCGCAGCAAGAUCCAACAGCAAUGUAUUCAGAUUCAGCAGUGGAGAGUGACACACAGUUCGGCUUCUUUGAAGACCAACAGACAAGUGAUCAUCCCAGAAAGUGACAUGUGCCUGAUGUAGACUUGCGAUCUACCUUGUCACCAGCAUAAUCAGCAUCCGAGAAUCCGACUAGAUCAAACUCUGAGCCCUUUGGAUACCAUAAUCCUAGUGUUGGGGUGUAAGCCAAAUAUCAAAGAAUUCGCUUCACAGCUAAGUGAUGCGAUUCCUUUGGUGCCGCUUGGAAUCGGGCACACAUGCAAACACUAAGCAUUAUAUCUGGCCUAGAUGCACAUAAAUAAAGUAAAGAACCAAUCAUGGAGCGGUAUACCUUUUGAUCGAACCCUUUACCAUUGGCGUCAGGACCCAGAUGACUUUUGGUUGGCAUUGGCGUCGUGUAACCUUUGCAGUCUUGUAUUCCAAACUUCUUCAGGAAGUCUUUGAGGUAUUUCUCUUGAGAUAUGAAGAUACCGUUGCUCUGCUGACGAAUUUGAAGACCAAGGAAGAACUUCAGCUCACCCAUCAUGGACAUCUGAUAUUGCUCUUGCAUCAUGUGUCCAAACUCAUCACUGUAUUUCUGGUUAGUGCAGCCGAAGAUAAUGUCAUCCACAUAUAUUUGGCACACAAACAAUUCACCAUCAUAUGUCUUCGUGAAGAGUGUGGGAUCCAGGGAACCAGGUUUGAAGCCUUUGCUCUUCAGGAAGUCUUUGAGUGUGUCAUACCAAGCGCGAGGGGCUUGUUUGAGGCCAUACAAUGCCUUGUUAAGCUUGUAUACCAUAUCAGGAUGUUUUGGGAUCUUCAAAGCUAGGUGGUUGUGCAACAUACACUUCUUCAAUCUUGCCAUUGAGAAAAGCACUUUUCACAUCCAUCUGAUGCAAAAGGAUGAUAUGAUGGUUUGCAUAGGCUAGCAGUAUGCGAAUGGCUUCAAGCCUAGCCACGGGAGAAAAUGUUUCACUGAAGUCUAUCCCUUCAACUUGAGUGUAUCCUUGAGCAACGAGACGAGCCUUGUUUCUGACAACUUGACCAUGCUCAUCUUGCUUGUUGCGAUAUAUCCAUUUGGUGCCUAUUAUGUUGUGCUUGCGAGGGUCAGGACGCUUGACAAGUUCCCACACAUUGUUCAACUUGAACUGUUGAAGCUCUUCUUGCAUAGCUUGAAUCCAUUCAGGUUCCAUGAAGGCUUCAGCAACUUUCUUGGGUUCUGAUAUUGAGACAAAUGCAAAGUGCCCACAGAAAUUUGCUAGCUGUGUUGCUCUUGAACGAGUGAGUGGACCUGGUGCAUUGAUGCUAUCAAUUAUCUUCUCAAUCUGUACUUCAUUUGCAACACGAGGAUGAACUGGACGAAGAUUUUGCUCUUCCUGAUCAUUGUCAUCAUUUGGAUGAUUGUCUUCAGGCUGAGCAUUGGCUUCAGGUUGAUUAGGUGCAGAAAUGAUGAGUUCCUCUUCAGCCUGUGCCUCAGAAGGUAUGAUCUCUCCAGUUCCCAUGAGCUUGAUGGAUUCACUAGGUGGAUCUUCAUCUAGCACAUUUGGCAAGUGCUCUCUUUGCGAGCCGUUAGUCUCAUCGAACCACACAUCCACAGUUUCAACCACUUUAUAGUGAAAGAGGUUGAAGACUCUGUAGGAGUGCGAAUCCUUUCCGUAACCAAGCAUAAAACCUUCAUGUGCUUUCGGUGCAAAUUUUGAAGUGUGAUGUGGAUCCUUGAUCCAGCACCUAGCACCAAAUACUCUGAAGUAACUGACAUUUGGCUUCUUACUAGUCAGGAGUUCAUGGGAUGUCUUCUUCAGAAGCUUGUGAAGAUAAACACGGUUGAUGACAUGGCAUGCAGUAUCAAUGGCUUCGGGCCAGAACUUUCUUGGAGUCUUGUAUUCAUCAAGCAUUGUCCGUGCCAUCUCAAUGAGUGUUCGGUUCUUGCGCUCCACGAUGCCAUUCUGCUGAGGAGUGUACAGAGCGGAGAACUCAUGAGUGAUGCCCAAUGUAUCCAGGUAAAGAUCGAGGCCGGUGUUCUUGAACUCUGUGCUGUUGUCACUUCUGAUAUGCUUGAUCUUGACGCCAUAGUUAUUCAUGGCACGGUUGGCGAAGCGUCUGAAGACAUCCUGCACUUCAGUCUUGUAGAGGAUUAUAUGCACCCACGUAUAUCUUGAAUAAUCAUCAACAAUGACGAAGCCAUAGAGACAAGCAGUAGUAGUGAGAGUAGAGUAGUGAGUAGGGCCAAAUAAGUCCAUGUGUAGCAGCUCGAAGGGUUGAGAUGUCGUCAUGAUUGUCUUCGAGGGAUGCUUGGCCCUCAUCAUCUUUCCAGCUUCACAGGCACCGCACAGAUGAUCCUUCUUGAACUUGACGCCCUCGAUGCCUAUAACGUGCUUCUUCUUUGCGAGAGUGUGCAGAUUCCUCAUGCCCGCAUGUCCUAGCCUCCGAUGCCAGAGCCAGCACUCUGAAGCCUUUGCUAGAAGACAUACGGCCAGCUGUGGUCCUGCUGAGAAAUCUACCAUGUACAAAUCAUCUUUUCGAUACCCUUCAAAGACUAGAGACUUGUCAGAUUCCAUUAGUACAAGGCAACGAUAUUUUCCAAAUAUCACAAUCAUGUUCAAGUCACAAAGCAUUAAGACAGACAUUAAGUUGAAACCAAGGGAUUCAACAAGCAUCACUUUAUCCAUGUGCUGAUCCUUUGAGAUUGCAACUCUACCUAGACCCAAUACCUUGCUUUUACCAGUGUCAGCAAAUGUGAUGUGACUCUUGUCAAAUGGACGUAAGGUUGAGUCCAUGAGAAGACUCCGAUCACCAGUCAUAUGAUUAGUGCAUCCGCUGUCCAUAAUCCAUUCUGAAGCAUGAGGUGUCAUACCCUACAGUACAGUUAGGGGGAUAGGCUUCACCAAGAGUAUUGUGAAGCAUAAACAUUUGACGCACAAGAGGAUUAUCAAAGCUCAGAUCAAGGUUAGGACUGAUAGGAUGAUUGGCAAGCGAUUCAGGAACAAAAUACAUAGUAAGACCAUUUGGGCAUUUUAUCUUGCACCCUACAAGAUGUUUUAGGUCCCCAACAAAAGCAUCAGACGCCUUUGAUUUCCGGCUGGAGACCUUUCCCUGCAAAAGAAAGUUAAUUUUUCUUAACCACCCACAUUUUCAGGGGUGGCACAGAAGCAAUGAGUCUAAGUGCAGCAUCUGAGAACUUCGGCUUUGGAGCCCUAGCAAAUAGCCUUGGAGGAGGUGAAUAGUACUCAUAUGAAUAAGCAGAGUAGUUCUUAGUCUUAUGAACAUAGCGGUUUGAUGACACGCGCUCAUAUUCAUAAGUUUGAGUAUAAUUUCCCUGCAAAACAUUGGCGUUAGGGUGACUCAGGUGAGUCCUGUGUCUAUAUGAAGCCUUUGGGCCAUAUGAAGCCUUUGGUCUGGGGUUUGUCUUCUUCCCUUGUGGUGUCAUGAUGACAUUCACAGGAAGAUUCUCAAGACACUUUUUGGGCACCCAAAUCUUCUUCAUAGGUGGUCCAUCCCUGCAGUUAGUACCAAUAUACCUGGCAAACACUUCACCACUCUGAUUCUUAAACACUUUAUAGUUUGCAUCAAAGGAUUCAUCAAUGAUAAUUGGGUUAGCACAAGUGAAGCCAGAUAAGGUGGAUGGAUCCACUAAAGGUCCCUUUGCAGCAACCCAUUUGGUUUUGGGGUACUGCUCAGGCUUCUAGUAAGAACCAUCAACAUUCAUUUUCCUCUCGAACCCAACACCCUCUUUUCUAGGGUUUCGUUUCAGAAUCUGCUUUUUGAGGACAUCGCACAGUGUCUGAUGCCCUUUGAGACUUUUGUACAUCCUUGUCUCAAGCAAUGUCUUCAACCUAGCAUUUUCAUUAGCAAUAGUAGUGGCAUCCUCAGCAGAGGGGUUAGGUACCACAUCAACAGUUGAAGAUAUUGCACCAGUACCAGCAGUAGAACAUUCAACAACAGAAGUUGCGUUAUCACGCUCAAGGCAUUUUAGACAUGGUGGUUCAAAUCCUUCCUAAGCGGGACUGAUCUGUUGAGCGCGAAGUGACUCAUUCUCUUUUUGAAGAUCUUCAUGAGCCGCUCUCAAUUUCUCAAGUUCUUGCUUCCUUUGAAGAUAAUCGUAGGAAAGCUUUUCAUGAGUUAUUGAGAGUGUUUCAUGACGACUUUCAAGUUCCUCGUACUUAACAUGAAGAUUUUUUAUGUCUUCAAUUAAGGAUUGAGAUCGGGUCAUUUCCGCGUCCAACAGGUCAUCGCUUUUGUCUAACAAUUUUUGAAUAUGUUCCAUAGCUUUCUGUUGUUCAGUUGCAAUUUUAGCAAGUGUUUUGUAGCUGGGUUUGGAUUCACAAUCAGAGUCAUCUUCACUUGAUGUUUGAAAGUAAGCAUCACGUGAGUUUACCUUGGCACCACGUGCCAUGAAGCAGUAGGUGGGAGCGGAGUCGUCCUUGUCAUUAGCAUCAACGUUGGUGAUGGAGCCAUCGUCUUCAGUGUUGAAGAUGGACUUGGCAACGUAGGCUUUAGCUAGAGCUAGACUUGCAACGCCAGAGUCGGACUCCUCCUCAGACUCCACCUCCGCCUCCUCAGAAGCAGACUCCUCCUCUGAAUCCAUCUCCUUGCCAACAAAAGCACGAGCCUUGCCAGAUGAGCUCUUCUUGUGUGAUGAAGACUUGGACGAAGACUUGGAAGAAGACUUUGAGGAUUUCUUCUUCUUCUUGUCAUCGGAAUCAUAUUCCUUGCCCUUCUUAUUUUUCUUGUUCUCAUUGUCUCACUGUGGACACUCAGAGAUGUAGUGUCCAGGUUUCUUGCACUUGUGACAUGUUCUCUUCUUGUGGUCAUGACUGGAAGCUUCAUCAUUUCUUGAGUUGGAUCGUGAAGACUUUCUGAAGCCUUUCUUCUUUGUAAAUUUCUGGAACUUCUUCACAAGCAUAGCAUGCUCCUUUCCAAUGUCUUCAGGAUCACCAGAACUGCAGUCAGAUUCUUCUUCAGACGAGGAAAACCUUUGCCUUCAAAGCGCGAGUUCGGCCAUAGUUGGGACCAUAGAUAUCUCUUUUCUCAGAUAGCUGAAACUCAUGUGUGUUGAGCCUCUCAAGUAUGUCAGACGGAUCGAGUGUCUUGAAGUCAGGGCGUUCUUGAAUCAUCAGGGCUAGGGUGUCAAACGAGCUGUCAAGUGAUCUCAGGAGUGUCUUGACGAUUUCAUGCUUGGUGAUCUCAGUGGCGCCGAGAGCAUGAAGCUCAUUUGUGAUGUCAGUGAGGCGAUCAAACGUGAGCUGGACAUUCUCAUUGUCAUUUCUCUUGAAGCGGUUGAAGAGGUUGCGAAGGACACUGAUCCUUUGAUCUCUCUGGGUUGAGACGCUUUCAUUGACCUUGGAGAGCCAGUCCCAGACUAGCUUCGACGUUUCCAGAGCACUCACACGGCCAUACUAUCCUUUGGUCAGAUGACCACAUAUGAUGUUCUUGGUAGUAGAAUCCAGUUGAACGAACUUCUUGACAUCAGCAGGGGUGACACCUUCACCAGUCUUGGGAACGCCGUUCUUGAUGACAUACCAUAGGUCGACAUCAAUGGCUUCAAGAUGCAUGCGCAUCUUAUUCUUCCAGUAGGGGUAAUCAGUGCCAUCAAAGACAGGGCACGCAGCGGAGGCUUUGAUUAUCCCUGCAGUCGACAUAGCUAAAACUCCAGGUGGUUAAACCGAAUCACAUAGAACAAGGGAGUACCUUGCUCUGAUACCAAUUGAAAGUGCUAGUUAUCGACUAGAGGGGGGUGAAUAGGCGAUUUUUAUGAAAGUCUUCAAAACAUGGAAGUUUCAAAGACAAACAAUAGAAAUGAACCUAUUAACAUGCAGCGGAAGGUAGACUACACUAGGCAAGCCAUAGUCAAGUAUUCAAUGAAGUGAAAGCACGAAGACUAAUAGCAGCUAGGUAGUAAUGAUCAGGAUGGAAGAUAGUUUGAAGCCAAACAACAAUAGUAGUCACACAGUGAGGUCAAACAGGUAACGCAAGUAGGCAAUGACUUCACGAAGACAAACUGUAAGUAAAGAGAUGGAGAAGAUAGAACCAGUCGCUUGGUGAGGACAAGGAUUUGUUGGACCAGUUCCAGUUGCUGUGACAACUGUACGUCUGGUUAGGGAGGCUGAGAUUCAACUCAAAAGACCGUGUCUUCACCUUAUUCCCCUCGAGCUAAGGACACUCAGUCCUCGCCCAAUCACUCUGGUAAGUCUUCAAGGUAGACUUCCAAACCUUCACAGACUUCGUUCACCGGCAAUCCACAAUGACUCUUGGAUGCUCAGAACGCGAUGCCUAACCGGCUGGAGGAUUCACAGUACUCAAGUGUAAUAAGUCUUCAGGUCACGCGGACAGAAAGUCUUCAGUGAUGCCUAACACUCUUUGGCUCUGGGUGUUUUGGGCUUUGUCCUCGCAAGGAUUUCUCUCUCUCAAAAGCUUCGGAGGUGGGUUGCUCUCAAACGACAAAAGCCGUGCACUAACUCUGAGCAGCCACCAAUUUAUGGUGUAGGGGGUGGGCAAUUUAUAACCACUAGGCAACCCGACCUGAUUUGUCUAAAAUGACCCUGGGUCACUAAGGAACUGACACAUGUUCCAACGGUCAGAUUUCAAACGCACGCGGCAGCUUGACUUGGGCUACAAGUAAAGCUGACUCAUCCAGCUCUGGAUAAGAUUUGCUCUUAUUGUCUUCGCUCGAAGACAUAGGAUUUGGUUGAGCAUCACUUCAGUCACUCUGACUCUGUUCACUUGGACCCCACUUAACAGUACGGUGGUUCCUAUGACUCAACAACGAAGAAAAGGAAACUACGAAACAACUAUGUCUUCGCACUCCAUAGUCUUCACGUGAAUGUCUUCUCGAGUCAUAAGCUUCGAUGUGAUUGUCUUCACAUACCACCAUUGUCUUCAAUGUCUUCAUACAUUUUUAGGGGUCAUCUUCGGUAGGUAAGCCGAAUUAAUGAGGAACGACUAUCUGUGUUAUCCUGCAAUUCUCACAAACACAUUAGUCCCUCAACCAGGUUUGUCGUCAAUACUCCAAAACCAACUAGGGGUGGCACUAGAUGCACUUACAAUCAUAUCACGGGGUUUCGAUGCACCGACGAAGUUUGCACCAACUCUCAAGGUGAGAAAGGGCAAUGCACGGUACCGUAGAGGCUAGCAAAUUGCGAAAGGUAAGAGUGCGUAUAAUCCAUGGACUCACAUUAGUCAUGAAGAACUCAUAUACUUAUUGCAAAAGUUUAUUAGCCCUCGAAGCAAAGUACUACUAUGCAUGCCCCUAGGGGGAUAGAUUGGUAGGAAAAGAUCAUCGCUCAUCCCCGACCGCCACUCAUAAGGAAAGCAAUCAAAGAACACCCCAUGCUUCAAAUUUGUCACAUAACGUUUUACCAUACGUGCAUGCUACGGGACUUGCCAACCUCAACACAAGUAUUUCUCAAUUUCACAAUUACCCAACUAACAUGACUCUAACAUUACCACAUUUAUAUCUCAAAACAACUAUCAAGUAUCAAAUUUAUCAUAGUAUUUAAUGCACUCUAUAUGAAAGUCUUUAUUAUACCCAUCUUGGAUGCCUAUCAUAUUAGGACUAAUUUUAUAACCAAAGCAAAUUACCAUGCUGUUCUAAAAUAAUAUAAGUGAAGCAUGAGAGUUCAUCUAUUUCUACAAAAUAAAACCAUCGUCGUGCUCUAAAAGAUAUACGUGAAGCACUAGAGCAAACGACAAACUACUCCAAAAGAUAUAAGUGAAGAUCAAUGAGUAGUCGAAUAAUUAUUGAACUAUGUGAAGACUCUAACAUUUAAGAAUUUCAGAUCUUAGUAUUUUAUUCAAACAGCAAGCAAAACAAAAUAAAAUAAAAUGACGCUCCAAGCAAAACACAUAUCAUGUGGUGAAUAAAAAUAUAGCUCCAAGUAAAGUUACCGAUGAACGAAGACCAAAGAGGGGAUGCCAUCCGGGGCAUCCCCAAGCUUAGGAUCUUGGUUAUCCUUGAAUAUUACCUUGGGGUGCCUUGGGCAUACCCAAGCUUAGGCUCUUCCCACUCGUUAUUCCAUAGUCCAUCGAAUCUUUACCCAAAACUUGAAAACUUCACAACACAAAACUUAACAGAAAACUCGUAAGCUCCGUUAGUAUAAGAAAAUAAAACCACCACUUAGGUACUGUUGUGAACUCAUUCUAAAUUCAUAUUGGUGUAAUAUAUACUGUAUUCCAACUUCUCUAUGGUUCAUACCCUCCGAUACUACUCAUAGAUUCAUCAAAAUAAGCAAACAACACAUAGAAAACAGAAUCUGUCAAAAACAUAACAGUCUGUAGUAAUCUGUAUCAAUCGAAUACUUAUGUAACUCCAAAAAUUCUGAAAUAAAUUGGUGGACCUGAGGAAUUUGUCUAUUAAUCAUCUUCAAAAAGAAUCAACCUAAAAGCACUCUCCAGUAGAAAAUGGCAUCUGAUCUCGUGAGCGCAAAAGUUUCUCUUUUUUACAGCAAGAUCGCAAAGACUUCACCCAAGUCUUCCCAAAGGUUCUACUUGGCACAAAUACUAAUUAAAACAUAAAACCACAUCUAAAAAGAGGAUAGAUGAAUUAUUUAUUACUAAACAGGAGCAAAAAGCAAAGAACAAAAAUAAAAUUGGGUUGCCUCCCAACAAGCGCUAACGUUUAACGCCCCUAGCUAGGCAUGAUGAUUCCAAUGAUGCUCACAUAAAAGAUAAGAAUUAAAACAUAAAGAGAGCAUCAUGAAGAAUAUGACUAGCACAUUUAAGUCUAACCCACUUCCUAUGCAUAGGGAUUUUGUGAGCAAACAACCUAUGGGAACAAUAAUCAACUAGCAUAGGAAGGCAAAACAAGCAUAACUUCAAAAGUUUAAGCACAUAGAGAGGAAACUUGAUAUUAUUGCAAUUCCUACAAGCAUAUGUUCCUCCCUCAAUAAUUUUCAGUAGCAUCAUGAAUGAAUUCAACAAUAUAACCAUCACAUAAAGCAUUCUUUUCAUGAUCUACAAGCAUAGAAAAUUUACUACUCCCCACAUAAGCAAAAUUCGUCUCAUGAAUGGUAGUGGGAGCAAACUCAACAAAAUAACUAUCAUGUGAGGCACAAUCCAAUUGAAAAUUAAAAUCAAGAUGACAACUUUCAUGGUUACCAUUAUUCUUAAUAGCAUACAAGUCAUCACAAUAAUCAUCAUAGAUAGCAACUUUGUUCUCAUAAUCAAUUGGAACCUCUUCCGAAAUAGUGGGUUCAUCACUAAAUAAAGUCAUGACCUCUCCAAAUCCACUUUCAUCAAUAUAAUCAUCAUAAAUAGGAGGCAUGCUUUCAUCAUAAUAAAUUUUCUCAUCAAAACUUGGGGGACAAAAAAUAUCAUCUUCAUUAAACAUAGCUUGCCCAAGCUUGUGGCUUUGCAUAUCAUUAGCAUCAUGGAUAUUCAAGGAAUUCAUACUAACAACAUUGCAAUCAUGCUCAUCAUUCAAACAUUUACUGCCAAGCAUUCUAACUUCUAGCACUUGAGCACAAUUAUCAGAAUCCUUAUUUUCAGGAAAGACAUUAAAAAGAUGAAGCAUAUGAGGCAACCUUAAUUCCAUUUUUUGUGUAGUUUUCUUUUAUAUACUAAACUAGUGAUAAAACAAGAAACAAAAAGAUUCGAUUGCAAGAUCUAAAGGUAUACCUUCAAACACUAACCUCCUCGGCAACGGCGCCAUAAAUUGCUUGAUGUCUACUACGCAACCUUCUUCUUGUAGACGUUGUUGGGCCUCCAAGUGCAGAGGUUUGUAGGACAGUAGCAAAUUUCCCUCAAGUGGAUGACCUAAGGUUUAUCAAUCCGUGGGAGGCGUAGGAUGAAGAUGGUCUCUCUAAAACAACCCUGCAACCAAAUAACAAAGAGUCUCUUGUGUCCCCAACACACCCAAUACAAUGGUAAAUUGUAUAGGUGCACUAGUUCGGCGAAGAGAUGGUGAUACAAGUGCAAUAUGGAUGGUAGAUAUGGGUAUUUGUAAUCUGAAAAUAUAAAAACAGCAAGGUAACUAAUGAUAAAAGUGAGCGUAAACGGUAUUGCAAUGCUAGGAAACAAGGCCUAGGGUUCAUACUUUCACUAGUGCAAGUUCUCUCAACAAUAAUAACAUAACUGGAUCAUAUAACUAUCCCUCAACAUGCAACAAAGAGUCACUCCAAAGUCACUAAUAGCGGAGAACAAACGAAGAGAUUAUUGUAGGGUACGAAACCACCUCAAAGUUAUCCUUUCUGAUUGAUCUAUUCAAGAGUCCGAAGUAAAAUAACACGAAGCUAUUCUUUCCGUUUGAUCUAUCAUAGAGUUCGUACUAGAAUAACACCUUAAGACACAAAUCAACCAAAACCCUAAUGUCACCUAGAUACUCCAAUGUAACCUCACGUAUCCGUGGGUAUGAUUAUACGAUAUGCAUCACACAAUCUCAGAUUCAUCUAUUCAACCAACACAUAGAACUUCAAAGAGUGCCCCAAAGUUUCUACGGGAGAGUCAAGACGAAAACGUGUGCCAACCCCUAUGCAUAAGUUCACAAGGUCACUGAACCCCACAAGUUGAUCACCGAAACAUACAUCAAGUAGAUCACGUGAAUAUCCCAUUGUCACCAUAGAUAAGCACAUGCAAGACAUACAUCAAGUGUUCUCAAAUCCUUAAAGACUCAAUCCGAUAAGAUAACUUCAAAGGGAAAACUCAAUCCAUUACAAGAGAGUAGAGGGGGAGAAACAUCAUAAGAUCCAACCAUAAUAGCAAAGCUCGCGAUACAUCAAGAUCGGGCCAAAUCAAGAACACGAGAGAGAGAGAGAUCAAACACAUAGCUACUGGUACAUACCCUCAGCCCCGAGGGUGAACUAGUCCCUCCUCGUCAUGGAGAGCCUCGGAUGAUGAAGAUGGCCACUGGUGAUGGAUCCCCCCACCAGCAGGGUGCCGGAACGGGGUCCCAUUGGUUUUUGGUGGCUACAGAGGCUUGCGGCGGCGGAACUCCCGAUCUAGGUUAUGUUCUGGAAGUUUGGGUAUAUAUAAGAGGUGUUGGUGUCGGGAACAAGUCAGGGGGGUCCCCCAGGGGCCACGAGGUAGGGGGCGCGCCUAGGGGGUAGGGCACGCCCCCACCCUCGUGGGUGCCUCGGGACUCUUUUGGCCCAUCUCCGAUAUUCCGUGGGCUUCUUCUGGUCCAAAAAUAAUCUCCAUGAAAUUUCAGGUCAAUUGGACUCCGUUUGGUAUUCCUUUUCUGCGAUACUCAAAAACAAGGAAAAACAGAAACUGGCACUGGGCUCUAGGUUAAUAGGUUAGUCCCAAAAAUCAUAUAAAAUAGCAUAUAAAUGCAUAUAAAACAUCCUAGAUGGAUAAUAUAAUAGCAUGGAACAAUCAAAAAUUAUAGAUACGUUGGAGAUGUAUCAGCUGCCUCGGCCUCGUGAUUCCGGCGAGCCCGAGCCUCCCCUCCACCUCUAGCCCUUGAUACAUCCAUUUUGCAUCAUGUUUUCCUAUUGUUAUUUAUAUUGUUUUAUGGAUAAUAAUACCUUUAGGAGUAAUUCUAAUGUCUUUUCUCUCAUAAUAUGCAAGGUACACACAAAAGAGGGAGAAUACCGGCAGCUGGAAUUCUGGACCUGAAAAAGACACGUCAGGCUACCUAUUCUACACAACUCCAAAUGAGCUGAAACUUCACGGAGAUUUUUUAUGGAAUAUAUAAGAAAUAUUGGAGAAAAUAAGACCAGAGGGGGCCCACCAGGUGGGCACAACCCACCUGGGCGCCAGGGAGCCCAAGCGUGCCCUGGUGGGUUGUGCCCUCCUCGGCCCACCUUCGGUGCCUCUUCUGGUAUAUAAGUCAUUUUGACCUAGAAAAAAUAAGAGAAGACUUUUGGGAUGAAGCGCCGCCGUCUCGAGGCGAAACUUGGGAAGGAGCACUUUUGCCCUCCGGUGGAGCGACUCCGCCGGAGGAACUUCCCUCCCGGAGGGGGAAAUCAUCGUCAUCAUCAUCAUCAACAACUCUUCCAUCUUAGGGAGGGCAAUCUCCAUCAACAUAUUCAACAGCACCAUCUCCUCUCAAACCCUAGUUCAUCUCUUGUGUUCAAUCUUUGUACCAAAACUAUAGAUUGGUGCUUGUGGGUGACUAAUAGUGUUGAUUACAUCUUGUAGUUGAUUACUAUAUGGUUUAUUUGGUGGAAGAUUAUAUGUUCAGAUCCAUUAUGCUAUUUAAUACCCCUCUGAUCUUGAGCAUGAUUAUCAUUUGUGAGUAGUUACUUUUGUUCUUGAGGUCACGGGAGAAAUCUUGUUGCAAGUAAUCAUGUGAAUUUGAUAUGUGUUCGAUAUUUUGAUGGUAUGUAUGUUGUGAUUCCCUUAGUGGCACUACUGCAGGUUGCUGCUAACGCGACACUAUGAUUAGAGACCCUUUGACGAAACUGUGUGCGAUGCCAUAAUCGCAAACGGUGGUGUAAAAUAACCGUCAAAAAGGUGCAAAACGUUUGCGAUGGAGGAUGCAUCAAACACGGUUCAGAUUUUAGUUGCGUGUGCGAUGCAGGGCAUAUGGUUCAGCUCAAUUAACUAUUUGUGAUGAGGAGGAACAAAAGAAAUGGGCAGCCAGAUGAAGGUGUGUGCGAUGUACAUCAUACGGUUCACUCGGAUGAACUAUUUGUGAUUAGGCAAGAGAAUAGAAACGGUUCAAUAUAACAAGAUGUGUGUGAUACGCGGCAAACAGGUCUGUAAUUAGAAAUGUGUGUGAAGACCGAUUAUAACACAGACGAUUGCUUCUAAUAAGACGUAUGUCAUAUGCUCUGUCUACACAACAUCUAUUGGCCAUUGUGAGAUGGGCGGUCAUCCGGAUACACCAUAAGGUUGCGAAGAGGCAUUCCUAUCAGCAAGGACUAGCUGUUCCACCAGUAGCUCAUGUAAGAAAACUAUCAAGUUAAGUGUGCUCAGGCUGGAGCAGCCAUCGGAUGGGUGACUGGAUGGGAAGUUGUGUUGAUGUUAAAUUAACUAAUAGGAUGGGUCAUUUCGGUCAAAUGACCGAAAUGACCCAUUCCCUCAGCUAAUUUAACCUCGAGGUCCUUGUUUUUUUAACACAUGUUCAAGAAGGUCUACCGCAUUACUUUUUGACAAUGUGCGAGACGUGGCAUACAGUUGAUCCAUCCGACCUGUUUGUGAUGGAAUAGGCCGUAUGUGUUGUGGGCAAACUUGCUAGUAUUCAACCGUUUGGGAUUGAUGAAUUCAUCACCGACGGGUUCCCUAGUGUGGUCCGUGUUCAUCUGAUCAUCAUCUACUUCUUGUGCUAGCUCGAUGUUCCUUCUAAGCUUAGUUUCCAUUAAUUGAUGGCGUUUUAUGAACACGCCACCGUUUCCCGCCAUUUCCUCACCUGUUUCCCGCCACCCUGCUAUAUUAUGCAUAGGGGCGCGCGACGUGCACGGAGGCGACAAGCGCAACCUGUAGCACAUCCACCUUUUCCAAGCAUGCCAACCCACCAAAGCGCCACCAUCAACCUCGCCGACGAGGAAAACGAGUAGGCGCUCCCCGGCAAUGGACGAUGCUGUGAUGCGCGUCAUCACCAGGGUUGAGCAGACCUUUGGCGCACGGCGCUUGAGCGCCGCGGAUCAAGAUAGCCAUGUCAGCGCCGACAGGCUGUAGCUCGCCGCACAACAUGAUCGAUGGCGCGCCGUGGAGCAAGCUAGGCGCGUCCGCGCCGAUAGGCUGCGGCUCGCUGCACGGCGAGACCGUUGGAGCGCCGCAGAGCGAGAGGCGCGGUGCACCGCACAACAAGAGCGGAUCCAUCGGUGCUUGCCUGCUGUCGACACGGUGUCGCAGCUGGGUACACGUCCCGUCAGUACCCCCAUUCCUCGCCAGGAGUGGGCAGAGGCCCUCAGCGCCGUACUUGCACCAGAGGCCGGCCGCGCCGUUUGCAUGGGUGCCGCCGUUCGCCUUGUCCGUGGCCCGCUGGAUGCCAACGCACUGGUCCGUAGGCUCGACUGCCUCUUUGGCCCAGGUGUCCACCUGGGCACAGUAGAGGAACAUGGCCGUCGCAUCCUCGAGCUGGUGAUCUCCGAUGAAAUAGCCAACUUGGAGCUCGAGAUCGCGCUCCAGAUGUACCACGAGCGUGUCGACCACUUGCACGAACGCCUGCACGAGUUUAGGCAGAGCCAAGAGCUACCCUAGGCAAGGGCUGCUGGUCAUGGUCUCAUGGACGCGUUUUAUUUUGAAAAGUUGUUUCGACGUGGAUAGCUAUGUAUUCACAGCAAUCAUAGCAUUGCUCUGUUUCAAUGUGUGUACUCUGUUUUCCAUUCUUAUCUGUUUUGCUUCAAUGUGUGUAUAUACGCUUUCCAUUCUGUAUAUGUGGAUGAUAACAGCUAGAUUCAAAUUAGUAUACAAAAACAGAAAGAAAUUGUAAUUCAUAAUAUAUAUAUAUAUUAAUUGUUCAUUAGUUCAUCAUAGAAUAUAUAUAUAUAUAUAUAAUAUCAUCACAUAUGCGCGAUGAUACUUAACUACUAGGUACAAUGCAUAAAAUUGAAAACAAACAAUACUAAAACUAAUAAUCCCUCCUGGGGCCAGUAUUCCGGCAGCCCCUCGCCAGCAGCUCCCUGGUGCACGACGUCUUCCCAGUGCGGAGGCAGUACUCCGACUCCUCCGCCUCACAGCGCUUGACGUACCGAUCUGCCUCUUGCUGGCGGACGCGCGCGGCCGAUCUUGCCAUUUCGUUGGGCGCCCAAUGGAGCUCCUUGUCGGUGGCACGCUGGAGCUUAUCAGCCCACCUCCACGCAGCGACGAGGCGCCUAACGCCUAUGACCUUCCUCGCGAAGUACCCAUCUUCGUACACCUCCUCGGCACGAUGACACACCCGCCCCCAAAGCUCCUCGCCUCCUCUUUCUAGGCGGCAUCACGGGCUUCACAGGCCGCCUGGUACCUGGCUUCCUCCUCCGCCAUCUCCUUCUUGAACACCACUUGCCUGGCUUUCUCAGUCGGCGACAACGACUUCCACAGACAAAGAUUGUACUGGCCCCAAAAUCAAUCCAAAGUUGGGGGGUUCGGCGCAACCUCAUUAGGCGGCGCGUAGGGGUCCUCGUCACUGCUAAUCGAGUGAGCGUCCUCAGGGGGCGGUGACUCCUCAUCGACGCGUGGGCAGACCGGAGGCGCCAUGGCAGAGAUUUGAGAGAGAGAGAGGGCGAGCGAGGGGAGGAUGUAGAUGAGAAUGAAGGCAGGACGAUGUGAGCAAGGUAGUAUUUAUUGGCGGCUGGAAUCUAGAUCGACGGGGACAAUACACACGCCGGUCGCCGGAAUUUACGAGUACUGUAGUUUGAAUUACACACGAUUCCCGCAGCAAAAUCCGUGUGUGAACAUAAUAGCUGACUGUUUUCAAUACAGAACCGUGUCCGAUUAAUGAUCCCCGCCAAUCACCUACGAACCUCGAGCCGCGAGAUAGAGUGCCAAUCGUGUGGGGGCCAGUUGUCUUGCCAGAUCUUUACAUUUUCUAUUUUGAACACCAGAUAUUUACAUCGUCUGAUGAUUUUUUAAUUCGCACACAAGUACACAAAAAUAUGAUUUUACAAACCGUUUUGGUUAGGCGUUGCAUGUAGAUGUAGUUCAAAUUUGAAUUACGGUCAUUAAAUGGUUAGAAAAUCACUUAAAUGUCUUUAAAAGGUCAAAUGACCCCUGAAAUUUUCCAAAUUUUCACAUGACAGUUGUAUUAGUGCAUGUUAAACAUAGGAAAAAAAUUGAAGGCCGUAAGAAGAAGCUAUCUCCUGUCCGUCAUUAUACAUGCAUUGUUCCCUCUCGGAACCACGAACCUUCUAGUGAGUUGGUCCGAUUUGUGAGGGGUGUGUGUCCAAACUUUCGUCAAACAGGCCAAUUUUUUUGCCACAUCAUCUUGGUGGCAUGACAUUAAAUCAAGCAAGGUUUCAUGUUUUUCUGAUCAUUUUUUAAUCUUUUGGAAUUAAAAUGCCGUGGCAUGCACUCCAUGCAUGUGCCCAUGCCUUGAGACCAAUAUGUUUGAAAAUUCCUUCUAAUUUACUGCACAUGGAAUUAACUCGCACACAAGUACACAAAAAUAUGAUUUUUCAAACCGUUAUGGUUAGGCGUUGCAUGUAGAUGUAGUUCAAAUUUGAAUUAUGGUCAUUAAAUGGUUAGAAAAUCACUUAAAUGUCUUUAAAAGGUCAAAUGACCCCUGAAAUUUUCCAAAUUUUCACAUGACAGUUGUAUUAGUGCACAUUAAACGUAGGAAAAAAUUUGAAGGCCGUAAGAGGAAGCUAUCUCCCGUCCGUCAUCAAAUAUGCAUUGUUCCCUCUCGGAACCAUGAACCUUCUAGCGAGUUGCUCCGGUUUGUGAGGGGUGUGUGUCCAAACAUUCAUCAAACAUGCCAAUUUAUUUACCACCUCAUCUUGGUGGCAUGACAUUACAUCAACCAAGGUUUCAUGUUUUUCUGAUCAUUUUUUUAUUUUUUGGAAUUAAAAUGCCAUGUCACUCCAUGCAUACGUAUGCACGUGUCCAUGUCGUGAGACCAAUAUGUUUGAGAAUUUCCUUCUAAUUUACUGCUCAUGGAAUUAACUCGCACACAAGUACACAUAUAUGAUUUUUCAAACCGUUUUGGUUAGGCGUUGCAUCUAGAUGUAGUUCAAAUUUGAAUUACGGUCAUUAAAUGGUUAGAAAAUCGUUUAAAUGUCUUUAAAAGGUCAAAUGACCCUUGAAAUUUUCCAAAUUUCACAUGAUAGUUGUAUUAGUGCACGUUAAAUGUAGGAAAAAAAUUUGAAGGCCGUAAGAGGAAGCUAUCUCCCGUUCGUCAUCAAACAUGCAUUGUUCCCUCUCGGAACCACAAACCUUCUAGCGAGUUGCUCCGGUUUGUGAGGGGUGUGUGUCCAAACGUUCGUCAAACAUGCCAAUUUCUUUACCACAUCAUCUUGGUGGCAUGACAUUACAUGAACCAAGGUUUCAUGUUUUUCUGAUCAUUUUUUUAUUUUUUGGAAUUAAAAUGCCAUGUCACUCCAUGCAUACGUAUGCAUGUGUCUAUGUCGUGAGACCAAUAUGUUUGAGAAUUCCUUCUAAUUUACUGCUCAUGGAAUUAACUCGCACACAAGUACACAGAUAUGAUUUUUCAAACCGUUUUGGUUAGGCGUUGCAUGUAGAUAUAGUUCCAAUUUGAAUUACGAUCAUUAAAUGGUUAGAAAAUCACUUAAAUGUAUUUAAAAGGUCAAAUGACCCCUAAAAUUUUCCAAAUUUUCACAUGACAGUUGUAUUAGUGCAUGUUAAACGUAGGAAAAAAUUUGAAGGCCGUAAGAGGAAGCUAUCUCCCGUUCGUCAUCAAACAUGCAUUGUUCCCUCUUGGAACCAUGAACCUUCUAGCGAUUUGCUCCAGUUUGUGAGGGGUGUGUGUCCAAAUGUUCGUCAAACAUGCCAAUUUCUUUACUGCAUCAUCUUGGUGGCAUGACAUUACAUCAACCAAGGUUUCAUGUUUUUCUGAUCAUUUUUUUAUUUUUGGAAUUAAAAUGCCAUGUCACUCCAUGCAUACAUAUGCAUGUGUCCAUGUCGUGAGACCAAUAUGUUUGAGAAUUCCUUCUAAUUUACUCCACAUGGAAUUAACUCGUACACAAGUACACAGAUAUGAUUUUUCAAACCGUUUUGGUUAGGCGUUGCAUGUAGAUGCAGUUCAAAUUUGAAUUACGGUCAUUAAAUGGUUAGAAAAUCACUUAAAUGUCUUUAAAAGGUCAAAUGGCCCUUGAAAUUUUCCAAAUUUUCACAUGAUAGUUGUAUUAGUGCAUGUUAGACGUAGGAAAAAAUUUGAAGGCCAUAAGAGGAAGCUAUCUCCCGUUCGUCAUCAAACAUGCAUUGUUCCCUCUCGGAACCACGAACCUUCUAGCGAGUUGCUCCGAUUUGUGAGGAGUGUGUGUCCAAACAUUCGUCAAACAUGCCAAUUUCUUUACCACAUCAUCUUGGUGGCAUGACAUUACAUCAACCAAGGUUUCAUGUUUUUUUGAUCAUUUUUUUAUUUUUUGGAAUUAAAAUGCCAUGUCACUCCAUGCAUACGUAUGCAUGCAUGUGUCCAUGUCGUGAGACCAAUAUGUUUGAGAAUUCCUUCUAGUUUACUGCACAUGGAAUUAACUCGCACACAAGUACACAUAUAUGAUUUUUCAAACCGUUUUGGUUAGGCAUUGCAUGUAAAUGUAGUUCAAAUUUGAAUUACGGUCAUUAAAUGGUUAGAAAAUCACUUAAAUGUCUUUAAAUGGUUAAAUGACCCCUAGAAUUUUCCAAAAUUUCACAUUACAGUUGUAGUAGUGCACGUUAGACGUAGAAAAAAUUUGAAGGCCGUAAGAGGAAGCUAUCUCCCGUUCGUCAUCAAACAUGCAUUGUUCCCUCUCGGAACCACGAGCCUUCUAGUGAGUUGCUCCGGUUUGUGAGGGGCGUGUGUCCAAACUUCGUCAAACAUGCCAAUUUUUUACCACACCAUAUUGGUGGCAUGACAUUACAUCAACCAAGGUUUCAUGUGUUUCUGAUUUUUUAUUUUCUGGAAUUAAAAUGCCAUGUCACUCCAUGCUUAAUUGUGUCAUAGCCGUUAGAACAAUAUGUUUGAAAAUUCCUUCCAAUUUACUGCACAUGGAAUUAAAUCGCACACAAGUACACAAAAUAUGAGUUUUCAAACCGUUAUGGUUAGCUGUUCAUGUACAUGUAGUUCAAAUUUCAAUUACGGUCAUUAAAUGGCUAGAAAAUCACUUAAAUGUCUUAAAAGGUCAAAUGACCCGUGAAAUUUUUCCAAAAUUUGACAUGACAGUUGUAUUAGUACUACAAAAUUUCUAGUUCAUUUAAAACACCAUCCGUUGGCACUUCACUCCAAAUUCGUCUUUCACGGCUAAUAAAAAAUAUCUACAACAUCACACACAGUUGUUUUCUAGGAACCGUUUGCGAUGAAAAUAUCUGGGUCUAUUUAAGUCUCCCUCCUUAAGCUUCAUCGGCUCGUCUACUCUAGUGCCGACAACCCCCAAAUCCACGAAUCCCGAUCCCCAUUCUCGCACCCCCUUCUUGCAAAGAUGACGCCGUGGAAACGCUUCGUGAAGGCCCGUACGAUGGCCGCGUCCUCCCUAGCACCGCCGCCUGCAUCGAGAGCGCGACCGCCUACGCCGAGAGUGCCGCCGCAUCCGCAUUGAGUGUGGCCGCUUCCGCCGAGAGGGCGUCUACGGCAGCCGACAAGGCAGUUGCAGCAGCCGAGAUGGCUGCAGUUGCUGCUGCUAUGCGGCUUCAAACGCCGAGAGCGCUCGAGCUGCCGUCCGUGGCGCUGAUGUCGCCCUGGCCCGGGUCGAGGCCAUCCAUGCCAAGAUCGAGGAUGCACACGCCAAGAUAUUCCAGGCCACCUCGGACUCCAGCAUGCAACCCAUGUCUAAAAAGGCGGCAAUGGCCAUGGAGCACCUGCUUCCUCAUGAGGUCGCCGAGCGGGAGCUGGAAUUGCAGGAGGCGGCGGAGAUCGAGGAGCGCUAGGAGGAGGAGUUGUGCGUGGCCGAGGUCGAGGUAGAGAAGAGUCUGUCCGUCGAGGAAUCAGCGGUGGAGUACCAACAUGAGCUCUGGCACAGCCACUACUACGAGUACUACAACCUUGAGGGCGGCGCCGAGGACAAGGACGAGGACGAGGACGCGGUCGACUUCAGCGGGGGGAUGUGGAGUCCACCAAUGGCGGCAUGUCGCCAGGACAAGUCAUCGAUGUCUCAUCUCAUCUCACACCGGUGAUGCAUAGGCCGGCGCGGCGGCGGAUUUGUUAAAUUUAUGCGUACUUAGGCUUUAUUUUUAAUGUUGGUCUUUUGUUAGAGCAAUGUUUAGGUCAACCGGCUAUGUUUAAUUACUAAAAUUGCUCGAUUCAGUAAGUGUGGUCUAUCUGCUGUACGCUCUUUUGUGUGCCCAAAUUAGCAAGCGAUGUUAAAUUAUGCAAUGACGAAGUUUCCGUCCACAUUUCCAAAAUUUUGGCCUACCGCCAAAAUAUCUACCCCGCUCCCCUUCCCCACGCCCUUUUCUCCCCGACCACAAGUCACAUUUCCCCUAUUUCCUCCUUCAUUCCUUCCUUGCUAAGCUAUAGCCGCUUCCUCGCUCUCCCCGUCUCGCAUCCUACCGCCAGGGUCACUGUUGUGGGUUUGUUACGGCAGAUGUCCUAGUGCGAGGACUUAGUCGUGGAGCCAUCACAACGAAGUUAGCUUAAAGGGGUUAAACGGGACAAAGGACAUAGGGAGUUAUACUGGUUUGGCCCCUUGCGGUGAAGGUAAAGGCCUAAUCCAGUUUGAGGUGGUAUUGCUAGGGUUUUGAUGACCAAGGAGCGGAUACGCUUAACCUGGCUCUCGAUCCGUUAUCUCUUGUCCUUUCAACCGCCGCCGGGUCGUCCCUUUAUAUACUCAGGUUGAUGCCCGGCGGUUCACAGAAUCCGGCUGGCUCAUAAACGUGUCCGGCUCGGUAUCCACUCGUUCCUAUCUUACAAUACAAGUCAUACACCUAUGGCGGUUUACAUCUAUGGGCCCUAACCCGCCUUUGGGCUUUGGGCCUUCUUAUUAAGUCUCCUUCGUAAGUCGCCAUCUUCUAUGUCUCAUGGGCUUCAAUACUGGUAAAUCAUCAUGAGCAUAACCCGGCCCCUCCUGGGCGGUUUAUACUCAAUAGCUAUCUCCCCAACAUUAGGCCCCAGGUUGAUUUGAACUUGUUCAUGUCAAUCUUCAACACUUAGGAAAAAUCACUCCUUCAUUACCUUUACGAAACAUAUAACUCGCCAUGACGUCACCCUCUGGAAUCAUGAUAACCCGCCGUGAUGUCACCUGCCAUUAAUUUUACAGAGCUAAAAUCUUUAAUGUAUCUCCUUAUUUUUAAUGAAUCUCCGAAAAUCAAGGCGUCUGCACUGUUACAGAUCCAUUUUUUGACCUCCUCGAUUCCCGCGCUUGCCACUUAUCCAUUCGCCUUAUAAAUAGGGCCCGGGGUCCCUUUCACUUCCCCCCUCGGCCUCUUCGUCUUGUCUUCUUCCUCGCGACAUCCUAGCACUCGUGCUCCGCCGCCGCCGUCGACCCUCGCCUCUACUUCAUCAACGGUCGCUGCAUGAACCUGUUCGAACCAGAUUCCACUCGCACGCCUCCGCCACUCAACAGCCUUGGUAAGUUCUUCUUCCUCCCCUCCGUAGAUCUUAUUAGGGUUCGUACGAUCUCAUGGAGGCUCGGUGCUGUUCUUCACCUGUUCUUCACCAUAGCAUGAAUGGCGGAUUCAAACUUGAUAUUUUCCUGUGCGGCAAUAGCCAUAGUCCUUCUUUCCCCAUCAGAUAAUCUCUUUGUAGGUAGAAAAUCCAAUCUGGAACUUCAUAAACUAUUCAAGUACCAAUAUUUAGGUCUGAAUAUAUUUUCUUUUUCUGACACGCGGUAGAUCCAAAAUUGUGAUAUCGAUCUGUGAAAACUGUUUUUCGUCACUUAGUCAUUUUCCAACUUCAGAUCUAUACUUUCAAUAUCUGUGUAGGCGGUUUAACUUAGAAAAUAAUAACCCGCUAGGUACCGUUAGUCCCCUCUUAAACCGCCAAUUGCUCAUCUCUACAACUUGAUAAUGCCAAUCUUCGGUUUAACACUUUUGCAUGCUUCAACACUUUCUGCCCUUUAACCUUUAACGAAUUAAACAUGAAUCUAAAACCGGCACAAACCUUCUUCCAGGUUAUCGAAUAAAUGGCCAAGUCCUUUUAUUCCUGCAACUGGGUUCAAUCCCGGGUUACAGAAGAAAAGCUGAACGGGUGUGUUGCUACUAGCGCUUUAGCCAAAAAGGAAGUCAUCCACUGGAGAGUCCCUGGUCCUGAAAAUCCCCCCGAGCCCAAGGAAGGGGAAGUGAUCGUUUUUGUUGACCAUCUGAGUCGCGGAUUUAGCCCUCCUAGAUCAAAAAUUUUCCGUGAUGUGCUUCAUUUCCUCCAACUUCACCCUCAAGAUAUUGGACCGAACUCCGUAUCCAAUAUUUGCAAUUUUUAAGUGUUCUGUGAAGCUUACCUGUAAGAGGAGCCCACGGUUGAACUGUUCAGAGAUUUCUACUAUUUAAACCGCCGUACAAAAUUUGUGGACGGGUCCAAUACUGACCUUGGCGGGGUGUCAAUCCAAAAGAGGAAAGAUGUCAGCUUCCCUCACGCUAACCAUCAUAGCCAUCGCAAAGAAUGGAAUCAAACUUGGUUCUAUUGCCAAGAUACAUCUCCAUAUGGUGAGAAUCCUGUGCCGGGUUACCGUGCUCACCGGCUUAGUAGUACACAUCCACUCCCCCAAAGACUCAGUGCCAAGGAACGGGCCAAGUAUGCACCACAGCUUUCAAAGCUCAGAGCCUUUGUGGCCAACGGUUUAACAUGCGUUGAUUUCGUCCGCUGCUGGGUGUCUUGGAGUAUUUUACCCUUAAGCCGUUGCCCUGGUUUAAUGUGUCAAUACACAGGGGACGUGAAAGAUCCUCAACGCCACAUUGAUAUUCAGCUGACCGACGCUGAAGUUACUGAAGCCGUCAAGAAAAUGUUGGAUAUACCGGUGGCCGAGUGUAGCAAAACAGGGCUUAGUCCUUUAUGCGCUUCAAAUAAACCGCCAGCUAUAAGAAUUGCCCAACUCCUGCUUAAUCCAUAUUUUUAAUACUCCCUUAUGAUCUUUUCAACUUUUAACAGGGUGAUGAUCCAUUCUGGAAGAGGAAACCGCAGGAUAAACCGGCAAAAACAGCUCGCCCCAAAACCAAGGUCACCAAGAAGCCCGCCAAGAAGAAAACCGUCGAGUCUGCCGAGUUAAACAUUGAUGAUGACAAUGAUAACCCGGAGUCAGAGGUAGAACUUGAUUCACUUGGCUCCUUUUUCAUACACCUCAUUGACAAUAGUUAUUAUCAGGACGACGCAGAAGCCAGCCGUGCAAGUGACGCAGUGGUAAUUAUUCUCUCAUCCGGCUCAGAACCUCUGCCCACAUAGAAAACCCAACAAGCAAACCAGAAAAUAAGAUUUUCUCACCCUCUAGCUCACUUGGAUCCAGACUUUAUUUUGAAGAAACAGCAACACGAAGCUCGCCGGACAACCCGGCACAGCGGCCAUGUGGUAACUUCUUCCGGUUUACCGAACACACCGGUUCGUAAACGCCGCCCAGAGGUCUCUUAUACUUCUGACACAUGUUAUCCCAAGGCAGGUUAUUUCUGACAACCUCUUAAUCUGUCUGAUUCAAAUUAUCAGGGAACUUCUCAUUCUUCCUCUGGAGAAUCAACAGGAACACAAAUUCCAACCCUCAAAACUGUUCCUGGGUGAGCAUAUUUAAUUGACCCUUCAUACCUUAUGCUUGAUCAUUAUACUAACCUGUUUUUUGCAUCUUAUUUUCAGAGCCAAGGCCAGACCCAGCAAGAAAGCCAAAUUGAAUAAUCCGGUUAAUGACUCCAAUCCAUUUGAACCGGAAAGGAGCCCGAAACUUUCUAAUCCAAAUACUAAAGCUAUUCUUGAUGAUUCGCCACCGCAAGAUCAUGAAAUCUUUGUUGAACAUAUGGAAGUUGAUCCGAUGAUUCAUGCUGAUAAACCGCCAAGCCCAACUAAAGUCGCUGAUGACAAGACUCACGAUGUUAUAGUCACUGGUCUUAGUUAUACAGUCCCAGGCAACCCCACUGCUCUGUCAAAACAUAGUGCCAAAGAAGAAUUUUCUGCUGUUGACAAAGGCAAGUGGAAGGCAGACUUGGAAAGCUAUGCCCACCUCAGUGCCCAAGACAUUCAUUCUGGGUUUUUAAACCGUUUGUACACAAGCCGCGACUAUGAAGCCGGUUUACUGAAUAUGAUGAAGGAGCGAUAUGAGGUAAAUGUUGUUAACUCCGCAUAAAUAUCCUUCCCUUAGCCGCCAAGUUUAUUGGACAUAAGAGAAUAGAGUGUACUGUAAACUUACAAGAACCAUAUAGAUCAACUCCAGUAGCCCCCAAGGGCCGGUUUAUACUAUCAAUAUGAACCGGGACUUGUAGAAUAACAACUCUUCAAUUUUGCCUGUGUAGCCCCUAAGGGCCGACUUAACAAAUAUGUUAAGUUGGGACUAAUUAUGUUGUAAAGCUCAAAAUUCUUGUUUAGGACCUUUGUAAACCGGUUAACCAUCGAGGUGAUAAUGGAAGAAAAAUCCAUAGUUUUGACUGGAGCAGAUAUGCAUUAGCCCCCAAGUGCCAAGAAUAAUACUUGUAUUGAGCUUGGGACUUGUAAAAAUUUUCUGAUAAAAAAGCAAUAGACAUGAGCCCCCAAGUGCCAAGUACAUUACUAGUUAUGUGCUUGGGACUUUGAAUAUGCACUGUCAUCUCAUUAAUUUCUUGUCUUUUGCAGGCUGAGCUUAUCAAGAAGGAAUCCCAAAUCGCCGACCUUCAAGAAAAUAUCAAAUCGCAACAAGCAGAGACUUCCAAGGCCCAGGAUGAACUGACCAGUGCCUUAGGAGCAAUGGAAAAACUGAAGGAAAGCUUCAAAAACGAGCAGGCAGGUUGGGAUAUAGAAAGGACAACUCUGCUGAAGAGGGCUCAGGAUGCUGAAGCGGCCCUUAAUCCGGUGGCGGAAGAGCUGACUGGUUUGAAACAACAAAUAAAUGCCAUGACUGCUGCCGUUUUUUGUAAAUAGCUUCUUCAUAAGCUUUAAACAUAUAUUAUCUAAUAAACUGCCGGUUUACAGACGUUUUUGAUGCUGCAGGUCCCCGCAUUGCUCAUCUUGGCUCGGAUAUGCGGAAGAAACUGAAAGAUGCCUAUACACUUAUAGGGCAAUUAUAUAUCGGCGUACAACGAGUCAUCUGCACAGCUUCCCAUAACAAGCCGCCCCCAACUUUGAUCAAAGAGACGUUGGAAAGGCUGUCUAUGAUGACUGCCCGGUUUGAAGAACUAAAGAAAUCAGCUGCAAGGGUAGGUGCUCUUACCGCACUAACUCAGGCCAAAGCAUGGAUAUCUGAUCUUGAUCCGACUGACUUGGCGAACAGCUACCCAAGCAUAAAGGAGGACGGGUCAGAUUUUAAUACGGAUGACCUCGGAGCUAUUACGAGGGGAAUGCGCCCACUGGCUAGUAAAUUGGUUGAGGAGACCGAUCUUUCAUAUUAUCAAUCGGUUUACGAUGCCAACAAUAAGAGAGUUAAAGCACCAACUUAUGAUACUCCAAGCCUUACUCCUCCAAUCCGUAAGCACACUUAUGCCCCUGAUGUUGACCCCUCCCCACUUAUAAGUGAUGAAAUUGUAUUCAAAGCCUUAACUGGGAUUGAUUGGACAACCAUUGACUUCCAGCCACUGGGUAGAGAAGAGGAAGAUGAACCGGCGCUGGAUGAUCCACAACCUUCAAGUCCACCAGGCCAAGAUUCAUAAACCAGAGGCUGGCUAAACAUCUGCUCUCGGCGAGACUUGUUAAAACAAUUAUUCUUUUGGGCAUCACACGCCUUGUAAUAGGCUAGCUUAAACUCUUGAUCUGUUAUGCCAUCGCGCAUAUUUGCUUUGCAUGACACUGCUGUUUCGCGAUGUUAAGAUAUGCCUCGUAUGCUUAUGAUGUUAGCAAUUUGAAUCUGUUCCUACAUACAACAGAUUAAAAAGUGUCCUGGCGGUUUACCGCUGGACGGGUUAUAAUGCCCAAUGUAAAGCCAUGGGAAAUUUACAUAGUUUACAACAAAGGCUGGACUUAAGUAUAACCAUAUAUAAUUGAAAAUAUAUCAUACCUGUGAUAUUUGAUCAGACUGUUAAUUUACCAAACCAGUGUAAUAAGGGUGAUAACCCAAAAUUUGAGCACUAGUAAUUAUCAUAUAUUACCGGCUUAUGAACAAAGCCAGGCCGGGUUAAUAAACACCGGAUAUUAUCUUAUCUCAUACUGGCGACUUAUAGUCGAAAGCCAAGCCGGAUUAAUAAACACCGGGUAGUUUCAUGUAUGAACCAUAAGGCAUCACAACCGUCAUCGGUUUUUUAACCAUGUAUGACUAUGUCACAUGAGAAAAUACCUCAAAAAAUGUUCAAAUCAAACAACAAAAAAAUCAAGGCUUUCAUAGGUGGCCAGGCCUAAAACUCAAGUGCUUUCACGGGGCGCACAACCACUGAGUUAAACCUUUAUACAAACCUUAUAAGCCGGUCCUUACACAACCAAUCGUCGUUUUAACUUUGACAAGUUCAGGGUCUGUAUAAGAUUGACUUGUCAAAAGUACGGCGGGUCGUUCCAGGAUUACCUGGGCGGAGUGGCAGACUUAAAAAUGCAGGAUAACCCAGGUUUUUAGGUGAAUACACCUAGCUUCCAAGCCUGGCUUUUAAGCCUAUUACAAGGGUUAUAAAAACUCUUUGUUCUUUAGAACAAAGAGCCCCCAAGCAAUAUUUUGAGCUGUGCUCAAGGGGCACCUAUGUUUGAGUUGUGCUUUUGCAACAGACUCUCUUUGGUCCCUUUAACCUGGGUAACAAGCCCCCAAGUUUUUUUAUAUGUGUGGCAUAUAAGCCGGUUCAAAGGGUAAUCAUAACUUUGUCGUAUAAAGCAGAAGCCCCCAAGUGACCAAAAACUCGUUAUUUAGAAAGAACAACAGAGGCCCUGCUUUAACAGGGAUGCCAAUUUUAUUAUAUUGAUCAUAAUAUAUACAUUGUCAAAAUAUGUACAUCAGAAGAGCCAGUGGCUCAGGUAUAGUAGGGCCGAAGCUGAGCAAUAUUCCACGGCCGGUGGGUCUCCUCCUCCGACUUACGUGAGUCUUUGUGCUCUCGAACAUCGAUAAGGUAGUAGGACCCAUUGUUGAGAUUCUUACUGACCACAAAAGGUCCAUCCCAAGGUGGGGAUAACUUGUGCAUAUCAGUCUGAUCCUGGAAAAGCCGAAGCACCAGAUCGCCUUCUUGGAAAGUUCUGGUUUUAACCCGGCAGCUGUGGUAACGGCGCAGAUCUUGCUGAUAAAUCACCGAAUGAGCCGCUGCGAUGUCACGCUCCUCAUCCAAUAGGUCAAGUGCUUCCUGACGUGCUUUUUCAUUGUCAGCUUCAACAUAAGCCGCCACACAAGGUGAGUCAUGACGGAUGUCACUAGGGAGAACCUCCUCUGCUCCGUAAACCAUGAAGAAAGGCGUGUAACACGUAGAUCUGUUGGGGGUGGUAUUAAUGCUCCAUAAUACGGAAGGUAACUCCUCCACCCAACAACCCGGCGUCCUCUGUAAGGGAACCAUAAGCCGGGGCUUGAUGCCUCUCAGGAUCUCUUGAUUGGCUCUCUCAGCUUAACCAUUAGAUUGGGGGUGAGCCACUGACGACACAUCAAGCCGGAUAUGCUCACGUUGACAAAAUUCUUUCAUAGCACCCUUGGAGAGAUUAGUGCCAUUCUCUGUUAUAAUGCUGUGUGGAAAGCCAAAAUGGAAGAUCACCUUCUUCAUGAAUUGAACCGCCGUUGCUGCAUCACACUUACUGACCGGCUCUGCCUCUAUCCAAUUACUGAACUUAUCAACCGCCACCAAAAGGUGGGUCUUCUUAUCCUUGGACCUCUUAAAAGGUCCAACCAUAUCAAGCCCCCAAACUGCAAACGGCCAAGUAAUUGGAAUCAUCCUCAAUUCUUGAGCCAGUACAUGAGCUCGUCGUGAAAAUUUCUGACAUCUGUCGCAUUUACUGACCAGAUCCUCAGCAUCAGCAUGAGCUGUCAGCCAAUAAAAUCCAUGACGAAAAGCCUUGGCCACAAGAGACUUAGAGCCAGCAUGGUGGCCACAAUCUCCUUCAUGAAUCUCGCGUAGAAUCUCACAGCCUUCUUCAGGUGAAACGCAACGUUGAAACGCCCCUGUGACACUGCGAUGAUGUAGCUCCCCAUUGACAAUAGUCAUUGACUUGGACUGCCGGGUUAUUUGUCUGGCCAAAGUUUCAUCCUCAGGUAACUCGCCCCGGGUCAUAUAAGCCAAAUAUGGAACUGUCCAAUCAGGAAUUACAUGAAGAGCCGCCACCAACCGAGCUUCCGGGUCAGGAAUAGCCAAAUCCUCUUCUGUAGGUAACUUGACCGACAGGUUAUGCAAAACAUCAAGAAAAACGUUAGGCGGCACCUGUUUAUGUUGAGAACCCAACCGGCUUAAGGCAUUAGCCACUUCAUUUUUUUCUCCGAUCAACAUGCUCAACUUGAUAACCCUUGAAGUGACCAGUAAUAACGUCCACCUCCCGUCGAUAAGCCGCCAUGAGUGGAUCCUUAGAAUCCCAAGUACCAUAGACUUGUUGAGCCACCAAGUCUGAGUCACCAAAGCACCUUACCCGGCUUAGGUUCAUCUCCUUAGCCAUCCGAAGACCGUGGAGCAAGGCCUCAUAUUCAGCUGCAUUGUUAGUGCAAGGGAACAUCAAACGGAGAACAUAACAAAAUUUACCACCUCGAGGGGAAGCGAGCACAACUCCAGCCCCCGAGCCCUCCAAUUUCCUGGACCCAUCAAAGUGAAUAGUCUAAUACGUGUCAUCUGGCCUUUACUCGGGCAUCUGCAACUCUGUCCAAUCAUUGAUGAAAUUCACCAGUGCCUGAGACUUGAUGGCCGUGCGAGGCAUAUAUUUCAAACCAUGAGGACCAAGCUCAAUGGCCCACUUGGCUAUCCGACCUGUGGCUUCUCUGUUCUGAAUAAUAUCCCUAAAGGAGCAGAACUAACCAUAGUGAUGGGAUGACCCAAAAAAUAUUGCUUAAGCUUCCGACUGGCCAUGAACACCCCAUAUACAAGUUUCUUCUAGUGCGAAUAUCUCUGCUUGGACUCAAUAAGCACCUCGCUGAUGUAGUAAACCGGCCUUUGAACUGGAUAUUCCUUGCCUGCCUCCUUCCGUUCUACCACAACAGCCACGCUGACAGCCCGGGCAUUGGCAGCAACAUACAACAACAAUGGCUCUUUAUCAACAGGAGCAGCCAGGACAGGUGGCUCAGCCAGCUACUUCUUCAAGUCCUCAAAUGCUGCAUUAGCGGCAUCACUCCAAACAAAAUUAUCUGUCUUUUUCAUCAUCUGAUACAGAGGGAUAGCCUUCUCUCCCAACCGGCUUAUGAACCGGCUUAAAGCCGCAAUACGACCCGCCAGGCAUUGCACAUCAUUGACACACACCGGUUUAGCCAGAGAAGUGAUGGCUUUGAUCUUCUCCGGAUUAGCUUCAGUGCCCCUGUUAGACACCAGAAAGCCUAAGAGCUUGCCUGCCGGUACACCAAAGACACACUUGGCCGGGUUAAGCAUCUUCUUAUAAACUCGGAGAUUAUGAAAAGUUUCCUUCAAAUCAUCUAUCAACGUCUCUUUCUUUCUGGAUUUCACCACAAUAUCAUCCACAUAGGCAUGAACAUUGCGCCCAAUCUGAUUAUGAAGACAAUUCUGCACACAUCGCUGGUAAGUCGCCUGGGCACUCUUGAGCCCAAAAGGCAUAGACACAUAGCAGAAGGCUCCAAAGGGAGUUAUAAAAGCUGUCUUCUCCUGGUCCUUAACUGCCAUCUUGAUCUGAUGAUAACCAGAAUAAGCAUCCAAAAAACUCAAACGCUCACAACCAGCCAUAGCAUCAAUAAUCUGAUCAAUACGAGGGAGAGAAAAAGGAUCAGCCGGGCAAGCCUUGUUUAAAUCCGUGUAGUCCACACACAUACGCCAAGUGCCAUUCUUCUUAAGUACCAGCACCGGGUUAGCCAACCACUCAGGGUGAAAAACCUCAACAAUAAACCGAGCCGCCAAGAGGCGGGCUACCUCUUCACCAAUGGCCUUACGCCUCUCUUCGUUAAAGCGACGAAGAAACUGCUUGACCGUUUUAAACUUGGGAUCAAUAUUAAGAGUGUGCUUAGCGAGUUCCCUCGGUACACCCGGCAUGUCAGAAGGUUUCCAUGCAAAGAUGUCCCGGUUCUCACGGAUAAACUCGAUGAGCGCGCUUUCCUAUUUCGGAUCCAGAUUAGCACUGAUGCUGAACUGCUUGGAUGAAUCGCCAGGAACGAAAUCAACCAUCUUGGUAUCAUCUGCCGACUUAAACUUCAGGACCGGAUCAUGCUCUGUAGUUGGUUUUUUCAAGGAUGUCAUAUGCGCCGGAUCAACAUUGUCCUUACAAAAUUUUAACUCCUCCGUUGCACAAACCGACUCAGCAUAAGCCGCAUCACCUUCUUCGCAUUCCAAAGCUAUCUUUCGGCUCCCAUGCACUGUGAUGGUCCCCUUGUAACUCGGCAUCUUGAGAUGCAGAUAAAUAUAACAAGGCCUGGCCAUGAACUUAGCAUAAGCCGUCCGUCCAAAUAGAGCAUGAUAAGGGCUCUUGAUUUUCACCACUUCAAAGGUUAGUGUCUCCGACCUAGAGUCAUGAUCAUCUCCAAAAGCGACCUCCAGAGCUAUCUUUCCAACCGGGUACACUGAUUUACCAGGCACCACACCAUGGAAGACAGUGUUCGACGGUUUAAGAUUUUUAUCUGUCAACCACAUGCGACGAUAAGUUUCAUAAUAAAGGAUAUUGAUGUUGCUCCCUCCGUCCAUGACUACCUUGGUGAACUUAUACCCUUCGACCUGUGGUGCAACCACCAAUGCCAGGUGACCCGGAUUAUCAACCCGGGGCGGGUGAUCUUCCCGACUCCACACAAUGGGCUGCUCAGACCAGUGCAAGUAACGGGGAACUGCCGGUUCACACUACUAGGGAAAACCUUAUACACAGAAUCUUAGCAGCAGCGCGACACAAAAAGAGGCGCUGCUGCUAAUUAGUAGCAGCGCGGUUAGGGAAAGCGCGCUACUGAUGUAAACUUAGCAGUAGCGCAUGAUGUCUAAACCACACUGCUACAAAAAUCCACCGACAGUACACAACAACCUAAGUUUACCAGCAGUGCGACGUCAAGAAGCGCGCUACUGCUAACACCAUAGUAGUAGCGCGCUUUUUAGUCACGUCGCUGCUGCUAAUUUUGAAAUUGUCCACACGGUUUGCCCGUUUAGCAGUAGCGCGUGAUAGGAAAGCGCGCUGCUGCUACGCUCUUAGCGGCAGCGCGUUUUUGUUACCGCGCUACUGCUAACACGCAGGACCCACCACCUUUUUCCACCUCUCCCUCCCCAUCUCCCUCUCCUCCCUUUCCCCUACCUCCCACAUCCUCCCUCUCUCACUCUUCUUCUUCCUCAAUACUUCUCCCCCCAUUACUCUCCCUCUUCUACCUACCUUUCUCUCUCUUCAUUACUCCUAGCUAACUACACCACCUCCAUUAAUGCAUCUCCUUUCUUUUUUUCCUUCCCCCUCCACUAGUUGAAGUUGUCUCCUCCCAAAUUAGCUAGCUAGGUAGAUGUAGCAUUUAGUUAGGUGACCUAUUUGCCCCCUAACUAGAUCUUUCUUUGUCAAGAAGAGCUUUGUGCACUUUUGAUCUCCCUACAUCAUCAUCCACACACCGUGUGCUCGAUCUCGAGAUAGAGGUGAUUAAAAUUUCACGCUUUUGCAAAAUGGAAAUAUGUGUAUGUGUGUGUGAUAUGAUAAUUGGGAAAUAUGGUGGAAAUUGUGUGUGUGGCAUGAGUUGACGCCAAAUUGUGCUUUUGAGUUGCCUAUGUUUUGCCGAAAUGUCGAUUUAUUUCCGUUUCGACGAAUUCCGGGCAAACUCUAGAUCCAUAUAUGUCAUAUUUUUAGGGAAGGUCAUGCCGAAUUUUUGUAUGGCUUUGAUGCAUGCACGCAUUUUUAUAAUCAAUUUGUUUAUUACUACUGUGCAGGUGUUCAUGAUGGUCAGUGGAACGAUGGUGGACAGGUGGUUGCGGUCGGCGGUGCAGGACAUGAAAGAAAAUAACCUGACAGAGGUUUUAUGUCCGUGUCGAAGAUGCAAAGGAAUAGUUUGGCUCGACCCCUAUGACGAAGGUCGUGUCGAAGCGCACCUACUCAUGACUGGUUUCAUGGAUGGCUAUACACGGUGGAUAAUUGAAGAUGAGGAUGAUGAUGUUGAGGACGCCGAUGGGGCAGCCAAUGACGACACUGGGCAAGACGAAGAGAUGAUCGAUAAUGGCGGCGUGGAAGAUGCCGGACAUGGCGGAGGAGAAGGGGCUGGACAUGUCGGCGGAGAGAACAUGGACUCCACGCAGCAGAGUUCGUCGGUACUAAGUUCAAUCAUGCGGGACCCUCAUGUUCAAGCACUGCUUCGCAAGGAGAUGAGUACUGAGAGAGCUGCUUCUAGAGAGGAGGCUAAGCUGGAGCAACUGGUGGUAGAGUCGAACACUCCAUUGUAUGAUGGUUGCAAUCCUGAGGUGACCCGCUUGAGUUUCACGCUCCAACUCCUGAAGACGAAGGCUAAAAACAAAUGGACGGACACUAGCCUCGAUGAGCAUCUGAAGUACCUAAAGGAUGUUCUUCCCGUGGGGAAUCUAUGUCCUACUAGUGUUGAUGAGGCCAAGAAGAUCGUGUUCCCUCCUGAUCUGCCGCAUGUUAGAUACCAUGCAUGCAUCAACGAUUACAUAAUUUAUCGGAAGGAGCACGCGGAAAAAACAAGCUGUCCAGUGUGCAAUGCUUCUCGAUACAAGAAGGCCGGGAAGAAAUGUCCCCAGAAAGUUGUAUGGUACUUACCGAUCACUCCCCGUCUCCAGCGGUAUUUCGUAGAUCCCAAGGAAGCAAAGCUAAUGCGCUGGCACACGGAGAGGAAGAAGCCCGACGAUGGAGAUGAUCCGAAGCUGAGACACGUCAAGGAUGGAAGCCAGUGGAGAGUGUUGAACAGCUUCUAUCGGUAUUUCGAAUGUGAUGCAAGGAACAUCGUGCUCAGCGCGUGUACCGAUGGCAUGAAUCCGUUUGGCAACCAGAACACCAACCAUAGCACAUGGCCCGUGUUUGUAUGGAUGUACAACCUCCCCCCUGGUUGUGCAUGAAGUCGAAGUACAUUCACAUGAGCAUGCUUAUUCAAGGGCCGAAACAACUAGGAAAUAAUAUUAAUUUGUAUCUAGGGCUACUUCAAGAGGAGUUAGACACUUUAUGGAAAACACCGGCCAAGACAUGGGACGCCAGCAAAGGCGAGUAUUUCUACAUGAGAGCCGCACUGAUCACGACGGUGCAUGACUAUCUCCGUUACAGAUAUGUCGCAGGCCAGGUGUGCCAUGGAUAUUGCGGAUGCACGCGGUGCAUGGAUGAUACGACGUCUCAGCAGCUAACGUCAAGGAAAGAUGGCGGGUCUGGGAAAAUCGUGUACAUGGGGCAUCGAAGAUGGCUCGAACAGGACGACCCGUGGAGAAACCAUGGAGAUCUAUUCAAUGGUCACGUUGAGCAUCGAGGACCUCCACGUAAGCGGAGCGGUGCCGAAAUCGAUGAGCUGUUGAAAAACUGGAAAGAGUGCCCCGCGCCGGGAAAGACGAUGAAAAAGGCGCCGGAGCCGCUGCUGAAGGUAUGGAAGACGAGGUCUAUGUUCUGGGACUUGGAGUACUGGCACAAACUCGAUACACCUCAUUGCGUUUAUCAAAUGCACAUCUGUAAGAAUGUCCUUGAGAGCUUGCUCGCGACACUGAUGAACAUGCCGGAUAAGACCAAGGAUGGGCCAAAGGCAAGAAAAGACUUUCAAGAUUUGAAAAUCAGGGAAGAUCUGCACAUGCCGCCCCGUAAACAGUCAGACGAGACAGAGACAGAGACAGAGGCGCGGGAGAAGAAGGACAAGAAAAUAAAGAAAGAGGAUCAUUGCCCCCCUUCUUGCUUCACCUUAAGUCAGGCUGAGAUCGAUCAAUUCUUUAAGUGCCUUACCAGAGUCAAAGUUAGUUCCUGACUGUGGCAAGAUAAGCAGAUAUCUAGACACGGACAAGAAAAGGUUCAGCGGGAUGAAUUCCCAUGACUGUCAUGUGAUGAUGACGCAGAUACUACCUGUUGCCCUUAGAGGGAUAAUGGACAAGCACGUCCCGUGACACGCUUAUUGGUCUCUGCAACUUUUUCGACGUCAUCUCUUGAAAGUCGACCAGUCUGAAGCAGCUCCGAAGGCUACAGGAAGAGAUCGUUGUGAUACUGAAUGAGCUUGAGAUGUGCUUCCCGCCCGCGUUAUUUGACGUGAUGGUGCAUCUGUCUGUCCAUAUUGUGGACGACAUAAUAGACUUGGGGCCAUCAUUUCUGCACAACAUGAUGCCGUUUGAGAGGAUGAAUGGGAUCAUCAAAGGAUUCGUUCGUAACAUGUCCCGUCCGGAUGGAAGCAUUGUCCAGGGCUAUCUGACAUAAGAGUGCAUCUCUUUCUGCGAGAAUUUUCUAUAUGGCGCAGACCAGCUGCCUGAUGUUAGUGUUGGUUUGCCCGUUAACAAGCACGAUUGGAGGCUUGAAGGAGAAGGUCACUCCAACGGUCGCAGGGAACUGCACGUGGCAUACUCAGAUCGACGCAGUGACUUUAACAUAGCAAACUUGGUAGUGCUACAACACCUAGACGAGGUAGAUCCUUUCGUGGCACUGCACAAAGAAAUUAUCGCAAAGAAGUAUCGUGACCGGGGGGUAUGCAGGACGGACGCCGGAGUUACUAGAGAGCACAACUCCACUUUCCUGCAUUGGUUCAAGCAUAUUAUUGCUAAUCCCCCGGAGGAGGGCUCUAAGGACGGAUUGCUCAUAUACGCCUUAGCACAUGGCCCCUCGCCCAACCUCCUAACCUAUCAGGCAUACGAUAUCAAUAGAUACACGUUCUACACAGAGGCCAAAGAUAUGGACAGUGAUGAUCAGAACUCAGGGGCGACGAUGGAAUGCAUGACCGGCAGCGACAACAGCGCAACUGAAAGAUUUUACGGAAGGGUCGAGGAGAUUUGGCAGCUUGACUACUCUGGACUGCACAACACGAUGAUGUUCCGUGUCAGAUGGGCUAGAAUGUCGAAAGAGAAAACCGGCAUUUCACUACCAUGACUAUACCCGAUGCUAAGAGCACUACCGUGAACGCUAUCGCAAAAAAUGAGCCAUGGGUACAUGCUAAGCACGUGACACAAUGCUUCUUCAUAACCGACCCGCGCAAUCCCAGCCGUGUUGUCGUGAGGAGAGGCAAAAGGAACAUCAUUGGAAUGGAUGGAGUCGCUAACGAGGAAGACUACGAUCAGUACGGCAACCCAAUGAGGGAAGAUGACGAUGAUGAUGAAGUAUACGUCAAAAGAAGAAUCAAUGCUACAUUACCUAAGAAAAAUCGUACUCCAUGGAAAAGGCAAAGUCACAAUGAGGGGCUCAAUUAUUCUUCAACGAACAAGAAUGGAAAGAAACUGACUCAAAAACGAAAACGUCAAUGCUAAGGAACCGUAUGUUAUCGGUCAAAUGAUGUAAUAUAUAUAUAUGUUCCUAUUUUGUAUACACACUUAGCCAUUAUUAUGCAUGGGGUCCAAUGAUGUAAUAUAUAUGUUCCUAUUUUGUAUACAUAUUUAACCGUCAAAUGAUGCAAUACGUAUCGCCUUCCCUUCGUUCACUGCCCUCGGAAAAAAAGAAAAGAAAAGUGAGAGAAAAUAAAGGAAAAGAAAAAGGAAAACUGUUGGUUAUAGCAGUAGCGCUUUAUUGAAAAAGAGCUACAACUAGUCAAGUUAGCAGUAGCGCUUUCUGCACAAAACCGCUAUAGCUACCUAUAAUAGUAGUAGCGCUUUUUCUCUAAACGCGCUACUGCUACGUCCACUUAACCCAAAAUCCUCACUCUCUGCUUCAUCUCACCUCUUUUCCCCCCAAAUCCCGCCGGGGCCCUGCCCUCGCCGCACCCCUGCGCUCGCCCCCACCUUCGCCGCGCCCCUGCGCUCGCCCCCGCCCUCGCCGCGCCCCUGCGCUCGGCCCCGACCCCGGCCACGACCCCGACCCCGGCCCCGNNNNNNNNNNNNNNNNNNNNNNNNNNNNNNNNNNNNNNNNNNNNNNNNNNNNNNNNNNNNNNNNNNNNNNNNNNNNNNNNNNNNNNNNNNNNNNNNNNNNNNNNNNNNNNNNNNNNNNNNNNNNNNNNNNNNNNNNNNNNNNNNNNNNNNNNNNNNNNNNNNNNNNNNNNNNNNNNNNNNNNNNNNNNNNNNNNNNNNNNNNNNNNNNNNNNNNNNNNNNNNNNNNNNNNNNNNNNNNNNNNNNNNNNNNNNNNNNNNNNNNNNNNNNNNNNNNNNNNNNNNNNNNNNNNNNNNNNNNNNNNNNNNNNNNNNNNNNNNNNNNNNNNNNNNNNNNNNNNNNNNNNNNNNNNNNNNNNNNNNNNNNNNNNNNNNNNNNNNNNNNNNNNNNNNNNNNNNNNNNNNNNNNNNNNNNNNNNNNNNNNNNNNNNNNNNNNNNNNNNNNNNNNNNNNNNNNNNNNNNNNNNNNNNNNNNNNNNNNNNNNNNNNNNNNNNNNNNNNNNNNNNNNNNNNNNNNNNNNNNNNNNNNNNNNNNNNNNNNNNNNNNNNNCGACCCCGGCGUCGGCUCCGACCCCGGCGCUCGCCCCCGUCCCCGACCCCGACGCGCGACGCCUCCCUCCUCUGCUUCCUCCCCUCCCAACCUUGGCCAUCGUCGGGCCUGCCUCCUCGCCCCUUCACCCUCUGUAACCCCCCCAGCGCUCCUCCUCUCUCUGCUAGCUAGGGUUCUUCGGUUAAUUUACUUAGGUUUUAGUUAGGGCGGUAGGUUAAUUAGGUUAUCUAUUUAGUUAUGAAUUUAGCUAGUUUUUUAUGAACCGUACGUUUUAAAAUAGGACAGAAAUUUAGGGUUAAGCAAUUGUAGUUAAAAGAAAAGGCAUCAUUUACGCAAUUGUCCAAAUCAACAUCCCUUGUUAAAGCAAAUUUAGGUAGGCUGAAUUUAUAUGCAAAUUUGAACUGGACAUGUGAUAUGUGGACAUGUGAUGUUUUGGACAUGUCAUGUUUGGAAUUUGGACAUGUCAUUUGGACAUGUGAUGUUUUGGACAUGUCAUAUUUGGAAAAUGAUGAUUAUGUGUAGGGUAAAUGAUCCGAGUGGCCUAUGUUAUGCCGGAAUGUUGAUUCAUUUCCGUUCCGGUGAAUUUCAGGCGCUCGAUAUGUCCAUUUUUUUAGCAAAGGUCAUGCCGAAAUUUUCCGUGAAUUUUGGCAUGAUUUGUGCUAGAUAGUAGGCAUAUCGAGUGCUGGGAGUUGCUGGGAAACGACAUUCCGGCAAACAUAGAUUUCUUUUUUAUGUCAUUUCUCAUUUUUUUCAUACUUUUAGAAUUAAACAAGGAGACUUAAUCAUAGGAAACAUGUCAAACAACGAAGAAACUGGGCCUUCUGACCAAGAUGCAGACGAGAUGGAUUAUGAGGGUGAACAAGAGUACCUCGACUAUUUGACUGCUAAGCAAGGUUUGCAGGUCGGCCUCGAUGAUGGUACUAAUGCCGACAUCGACACCGACAGCGCUGGCACCGAUGGCGGCCGAGACCGGCGGGGAAGAUACUGGCGGGGAUGGUACCGGCGCCGAUGCUGCUACCUAAAAGAAGAAGAAGAGGAUACGAAAACCUAACAAACUAGGGAUUGGACGACUAAUGAUCACAAAGAUGGCACUUGGCAAGUUCGAGCCAUUAGAGCCAGAAGAACCUCGCAAGUGCUAUGGGAACCAAGUAGGAUGCAUCCUACGGGAAUGCGCGAGCAUCAACGACGAUGACUUAAGGAGUAAAGAACAUUUGAUGCAGUUGCUCCUGACAAAGUUGCACAAGAGAUUCAAGUUCCCCGACCGGGAUGAUAACAUAGAAGAACCGUGGGAUGAUAUGAAGAUGAAAAAGAUUAACAAUCACGCCAUGGGCAUGUUCAGCAAUGAUUUGGCCUCCUGGAAAGGGAGGGUGAAACGAGCUAUUGAGGCUGAGGAACCCCUGUCCAAGAUUCUGGAGGAAGAUCCGACACUUACGGUAGAGGAGUUCGAAAAGUUCAAGGACACUUGCGCUACCGAGGCAGCCAAGGCUAAGGCUGCGAAAUUCAAGAGCCUUCAGCAAAGGAACACGGGGAAGCAUCACCUCGGAAGCCGUGGCUACCUCGGUAAAAGGCCCAUAUGGGAUAAGGAGGAUGCAGAACAUGAAGCCGCGGGUCUCCCAGACCCCUUCGCGAAGUUCACCAACCCCUUGGAGCGUGACUUCAUCAGGGCCCGUUACAAGUGGGUCAAGGAAAAGAAGGUUUUUUACACGGACAAGAUCACGAGGAAAUUGAUUAGACUACUGGUAAUUAUUCUUUUACCACCAUACAUUUAGCUCCAUAUCUAGUCGACUACACAUUCCUAAACGGUUCAUGCUCCUUCUGCAGGAGAAGCAACACCAGCUUGCAGCCGAAAGUCCUAUUUCUCCGAUGAGGCCCAAGUGGGACACCCCUCUCAACCGGGCCUUGAAGAAACUUAAGGGACUCCCUUUGGGCCAGCGGCCGCAAUAUGGUCGUGUGCACGGCGCUGGAGACGGCGCCACGUGGAAGGUGUUUUACAACGAGGGCCCGGAGGCCAAGAAGCAGAAAAAGAAGUUUAGUCAGGCGGACAUCGACACGAAGGUGAAGCUUGCGGUCGAGAAAAAAGCAGCUGACACUACAAGAAAUAUGUCAACUUGUGACCGUCACUAUUGGCUGCUGAAAGGUCAUAGUUUUUCAUUUGCGACCUUUUUGUGACCAAAAACAGAAGGUCAAAAGCUGGCAGUCGUAAACUGAAAUUAGCGACCUUCUCUAUGAGAAGGUCGUAGACGUUUACGACCAAAAUAGAAGGUCGUUGAACCCAUGACCUUUUGUUUUGGUCACUGGCUGUCUGCCCAGGCCACGUCAGAUCCGAUGUUGCAAUCUGACGUGGCAAAAUUGCGACCAAUUGAAAAGGUCAAAAAUUAGAAUCGGCCCGGUCCAAUUGGGUGUUUAUAUGGGCCAAGCCCAUUAAUUCAGCCUUUUUCUUUUUUUUUCUCAUAUUAAUUUUGGUCAAGUAGAUGGGCCAAGCCCAACAUUUCAGCCUCGUUAUUUUUGGGCCUAGGCCUUUUUAUCUUCUUGGCCUUCACCUUUUCACAAAUGAUUUUUAAGCGAUUUUGUUCUUUUUUCUGAAUUGUUUGAUUUGCGGCCUUUUUAGGGCCCAAAUGGUAUUUGUUUCAUUUCUAAUGUAUCAACAAUAAAUGAUCAUCACCUAAAAAAAAUAAAUGAUCAAUAUUUCCAGUAUUUCAAUCACACAAAUUUUCACAAAUGACGACCAAAAUGAGUAUAUUAUAUAUAUUACAAUCAUGCCAUAGUUCACAUCAUCCAGGAAUUUAGAACACCCAGGAACACCCAGGAAGUGCUGCUAUGAAGUACAACAUGCAGGAACAUAAAACUAGCUACAAAGAUGAAGCGUUCCCUUCUUUUAACUUCUUCAACCUAGAGCUCCUGUAGAAGAAUGAAAAUGAUCGUUAUCAUGGCUGCCAAUUCAGAAUGAAAGCAAUAUCUUCCAACAAAGAACAGCUAGGAAAAGAAUAAUGAACAGAAUAAUAAACAGAUACACAAGCAGCUAGGAGUCGAUCCUGAAGCAUGAGGGCAUGGAUAACAGUAGCAACCAUGAGGAGUAAAUAUUAGCAAAUAUUAUAUUGGUGGAAAAAGGGAAAUACCAGCAAGCUCUAAGAAGACUCCAAGAACUUGAUGGCCCACAAUACAAUCAUGUUUUUGAUAACAAAUACUACUAGAAUUAAGGCAUUGAACAUAUUCUAAGAAGUAUCAACAUCAUGGCAGUAAAAAUUAAUAGUAGCAGCUAGCAGGACAUCAAUCGAACACAACUUAAUUAUCAUUUGAACAAUCGAGACAACAAGUUACAGAACAAGCAUGUAUUGACAGGAUAGUUAUGAGUAGUAUAGAACAUAACUAAAUCAAACAGAACUAAAUGUGCAAACGACAAGUGUACAAAAGCUGUAUAUACUGAUACAUACAUGCUAACUGAUUUCUGUUUGGCCUUUAAAGCAUUAGUACGCUUGUUACUCUUUUUAGAGAGACAGGUAUGUAUAUGGUCCUUGUUUCGCCUGUAGUUGCAAGCAUAUGCAGAAGAAGCAAUUGCCGGAUGACACUUAUAUGUGUACAUUCAGAAGUAAGUACAAAAUGGCUUUAGCUUCAAAACAAGAGAACCAGAUGCAUGCUCCGUGCAGUAUUUAAGUUCAGGCGAGUGGGUGCAAACACCAACCAUAACCAGGUUCAUUUCUUCUGAAGAUAAAACAAUUCAGCAGGGUAAUUUGUGCGGAGAGGUGAACUUAAUUUUCUUCAAAGGCACUUAUUCGCUUCACACAACAUUUGUUCCUGCAAAAUUAUUUGGUGUAUUAUUGGGAAUAGUCAGUUUUUAUAAUUUGAAACAAUAUCCAAGCUGCAGCGCCAAAUUAUUUCAGGUUUUAUAGAACAUAUGAAUGUUGCAGUGCAUUACACAAUAAAAAUUGUCUGAAUGUAUCUUUGUUCCGUUCCUAGAAAAAUGAUGAUGAAUCAAAGAGAUCCAGCCGAAAACUAUGUGUAGUUGAAUGAACAGGAACUAUACAAAGCUGCUCACUAAUCAGAGAUUAUUUUUUUCUGAAACAGGAUUUUUGUAAACAGAGACUAGCUUGAGAUGUGCUUUGUCAUUCGAAAACAAAAAGGCAAACAUACAUAUUUAGACAGGCAAAACAAGGAGCAUGUAGAGGUCUGUAGUAUAAUUAGGCAAAGGAAAAAAACAAUGGACAACACAGAACAUUGUACAGAGCAAAGAAACAAAAUGCCAAGUAAAAAGUGAUUUUGAAACAUAUGUAUAUAGAAGGGAUGAGUUCACAUGUACGGACAUACAUAAAUAUCAGUACUUGACUACUUGUAACUUCUUACAUCAACCAGGUUUCUACAAAUAAAAAUGCCGAUAACAGACAACAUGGCAACGGAUAUCAAGGGUGCAGAAAAAUUGGACUGGAGCUACCAAGCAAAGGAGAGGUGCUGAUGACAAAGCGACCUGCUGUAGGCAUCAUCUAUUUUUUUUUCUCUGAACAGAAAGAGUAACAAAGACAACUACUAAAAAACAAUUCAAAGACAUGUAAGGAUUUUAUAGGCACACGAUUUCGACUUAUGAUUCGCAUUUCGAGCUUUCUCCUUGCUCCAAGCACUCAACGGAUGUGAGCAUACCACUAAAUGAGUUGCGACUCAGAUCUGAAAUUGCACAUAUGAUAAAUCUUAUCUUCAUCUUGUAAGCAAUAAAAAUAAAACAAAUGAUAUGCAUAGGUGUGGUAGGCAAAAGGUACAAACCCAAACAGAAUCAAAAUUUCACACCAUUUCACAAGAGCCUACCAUUUUUAAACCUAUGCAAGUACCAGGAGUAUUUCACUCCUUUCCAGUGCAAGUACUCCAAAUUUGUUUGAGUAGCAAAUCUAGGAAAACUGGAGAACUGUGACACCCCAAAAUUUUGGCCUUGUUUUAUUUAUUAAAAUGUUGCCAGGAAAUAAAACUUUUCCAUUAUUGUCAAGUUUUACCUUUUGUGACCCUGGAUUUUUACCUCAAGUAGGAAAAACCUUCAAAGGUAUUGUUGGAUUUGUUUACUCUCUUUUAUAAAACAAUUCCUCAUCAGUGGAUCCAAAUUUGCAAGGCUUAUUUUACUCAAAGCUUUAUUCCUUUAAAAUGAUUUCUUUUGCAUUUGGAGCCUACUUUGCACUGCAACCAUUUGAUAAAUGCUUUCAAAAUUUCCACCAAAAUUUGGAGAUGUCAUGUGAUGUUUCCACAUCACUUUCUUGCAGAAAUACCUCUUGGCCAUUGGAGAUUUUGAGCUCUACACCAACUUUUCCAAUCUGGUCCAGUAGGCACUUUUGCACUGCAACCCAUUUAAAUAUUCUUCUGAAAAUUCUUCCAAGUGUUUGGAGAUGUCAGUGGAUGCAUACCAUUCAUCUUCAAGCAAAAACCCAGUGAUGUCCCUUGGAAAAUUUGAGUGGAUCAGCCUCUUUUGCAUUCUGGUCCAAUUUGGUGAUUUGUACUGCAACCAUGUUUUUCUUUGCCCUAAUAACCCUGAGCUUUCUCCUACUUGUAGCCCUCCCUACCAAACUCUUAAGUCCAGGAGAUUGGGCUCAUUGGAGGUUUUGAAGUGCAUGUUCUAAACCCUUUUUCUUUCUGUCCAAAACUGGUGUUUUGCAAAACUUGCACUAUCAACUUUCUGUCUUUGCCAAACUAACCUUGCCAUCAUCUCCUGCAUCUAAAGAGACACUGAUCUGGAGAUUUUGGCCACUCCAAGAGUUAUCUAAGUGCACUUGGCUUUCUGUCGAACACCUGGUGUGCACAGUCAUUUUGGGCAAGCUCUCUGGUUUGCAUGGUGGACUUGAACCCCUGACCUAUCCACCUUGUCCACUGAAUACCUUGCUACCCCUACCCCCAUCCUGUGCAGUGCCAGCUCCACCCUCGAGCUCUAGAGCGCGCUGGCUUUUCGUCGAGCAGGUGCCGUGCGUGCUCUGGGCGCGCCCAGAGUGCACGUUUUGCACGCGCGCGCACUACGCCGACACGCCGCACUGCCGCGCUCGACGCGACCCGACCCUGGCCCCCUCUGCAUCGCUGAGCCGCGCACUAGCCGCCCCCCUGCUCCACGAUCCCUCUGGCGUCCUGCUGCACCACUGGCCGCGCCCUUGGCGGUACGCCGGCGUCGGCAGCGGAUUCCGCCGCGGACGGCGCCGCCCAAGCCACCAGCGCACGACAGCUGCCUCAGAGCACAGGCCAUGCUUAUCCUCCCACUCGUCGGAACGCGUUCGUCGCCGCCAAGAUGCCCUGCAACUACAGCAACGGCUGUCGCCGGUGAUCCUAUCUUCUACCGCCACGGUUCAGCCUCGCCACGCUAUAUAAAGGAUCCCCGAGCCCCUCCGAGCACUCACACGACCUCAGAACCACCCCGUAGAGCUCCCCUAGCAGUAGAUUGACCAGAGAGGACCGCCCUCCCCAACUCCGGCCAGCUCGGCCGCUGCUAAGCCCCGGCGCGAUUCGUCGCAACCGGCCACCCAUUCGCCAAUCCAGCGCCACCAAGAUCCUCCCCGUAGCCUUGUGGAGCUGCCCAGCUACCCAAGCUCGAUCGGAGACCACCAGAGCACGAAAGUCACUUCACCACCGUAGCUUUCCUCCGCCGCGGAGCUCGCCGCCGGCGAUUCCUUCCACCUCCGCCGACCCAACGACCACCCAGAGGACCGCCUCGGUCCGGCCGUUCCAUCCCCACCCUUGGAUGCCCUCGGGGAGCCGCCGUUCGUCGCCGGCGAUCGCCGGAGCCUCGCCACCGUUCGGGCACAGAGAAAGGAGGGAGAGGGAGACCAGUCAAACCUGACUAGUGGGCCCUCUGGACCCACUGUCAGUGACCCGCACGUCCGCCCUCUCUCUGGUUGAGUGGAGGCGCAAAACCCCGAAUGCGUUUUCCCUGCUGCGUAAGCGUAUUUCCCUCGAAGCGUUUUCCUUUUUCUGGUUUUAUUUUAAAAACAGAGUUGACCAAACUUUGACUGGCUAUAACUUUUAAAAUAAAACUCCAAAUGAGCUGAUUCUUUUUCCUACCUCUCUCAAAUUUCAUCUAGUUUAUUUUAAGAUUUAUUUCAAAAAUAUUUGAGACAAGUUUUGGUACUGUGUUUGAAAUAUUUGUAUUUGUGUAUUUUGCAAAAUAGGAUUGUUGGAGGGAAAGGAAAGCUUCCAAUAAGUGCAUCCUUUGCAUACUUUUGAAGGCAAGCAUUUCCGAACUUUGGCAUAAUAUUCUGUUGUGGUGUUUGGAUGUGAUCACAAUACCUUUUGGCUUGGAGUGUGUGAUAGUUUAUGUACCGACAUAGUCUCGUGCAUAAGUGCACUUUGGAAUUGUUUUGUGGUCAGCAGGUGGAUACACUAGUGAUUUGGGUCAUCCUCGCGAGUUUCUCUUGCACACCGGUAGGAAGCCGGGAGAGUCGUGGUCUUGGGUAGACACGAGCUCGUCCCUAAUCCCUCGUCGAGACGAGUAUGCCCAGCAUAGCUUGGUGAGGCUCGAGGAGUGAUGAUUUAUUUCAUUAGUGGUGAUAUGUUUGGUGGGUGCCUGGACCACCUGAGUCGGUUGUAGGCCAUGUCUUGAUCUAUAGCUUCCUUCUUUGUCGGUACCACCACUUGUCCCUGCAGGGAUAGGGUAUGGUUCAGUAGGUUGUCAACCCCUGUCCAAAGCACACACCGUAUAGAGAGGCCGUGAUGAAGGUCCCGUGGCCACGGAUUAAAGCCUGUCAUUUGGUCCGGGGGCAUGGGUGUUUCGGUUGUUGCCGAAGGGGAUAGCUUCCCCCAGUUUGCGCGCGGUAUAAAUUUUGUGAUCCCAUGCUACGUCGAGGUUGUUGCCUCCCCACUUAGAGUUUUGCUUGGCAGGUGUCGUGGGUGAUUCCAGGCACUGGUGAGUUAAGCUGGUGUGUGCAGGUCGGGCGUGUUUUCAAUCAGAAGACCGUAGACGGAAUUAGUCCAGAGGGACUAAGUAAACCCGUUACUCGUGGAAAAUGGUACUCCCUCUGCACAGGAUACAUCCUGUCAGAUAGUCAUGUUCUUGAGUAGAAACCACAGUCUGAGUUGAGUCUUGUAACGGUGUUCGGAUGGAGAAUGAUUCAUCUAGAACUCUGUAACGGUAUUCGGAUGGAGAUACGGCCUGACUAAAUUAUCGGUUUUCGGAUGGAGAAACGACUGUACUAAAUUUUGUUUAUGACUAUGACAUGUAUGGAUUGUGAUCUUUAUUAUAUUUUGUACUAACCAUUUAUAUUAUGUAUAUUAUUGAGUAUCCCUGGGAUGGUCCUACCUCCUGGAUAUUCACUGUAAUUAUUUUUCUUAUAAGCCCUUUAUGCGGUGUCGCUCAGACGCCCGACUGCGGCAUGCGUGUUAUUCAUUUAUCUUUUAUAAGCCCUUUAUGUGGUGUCGCUCAGACGCCCGACUGCGGCAUGCGUGUUAUUCAUUUAUCUUUUAUAAGCCCUUUAUGUGGUGUCGCUCAGACGCCCGACUGCGGCAUUAUUUUUAUUUCUGCAUUUUCCGCUCGAGGAGUCAUUCAGACACUCGUUUGGCACCAGUAUUAUUAUUUCUGCAUUUUCCGCUCGAGGAGUCAUUCAGACACUCGCUUGGCACCCAGUAUUCUAUUUUGGUCUAUUUUAACCAUAUGUGUGCAUCAUGACCUUUCAUAUAUUUCGUGGCAGAUGUGUGUUUUAUCUAGUUUAACUCGGAGCAUGUUUGAUAUAUUAUACCCGUGUUCCUAAUGUUUGCGAGUACAUUCAAACGUACUCACUGGCUUGUCCCUGGCUAUUGUCUUGGCCAGAUUUCUUGCUCGGAGACGAGCCACGCGGUGACAACCUCGGGGCCUACGUGUUGACGUUUGUAGCCUCGCGAAGAUAGGCGUUAUCCUGGUCAGCUGUUCUUGUGGGAAAUGGAGUCCCAUAGACGCAGAUGUACCCAAUCGCUUCCGCCCUCAACCACUAGCAAACCAAAUGUUGUACUCCUAGGCCUGAAUGGUCUUGUACUACAUAUUUUUGUACUUGCUUGGAAUUCUUGUAUCAAGUUGGUACCUCAUCAGCUAACAGUAAUCCUGGGGCUGGUGAGCACACAGGCCGUUUUUCUGGGAAUUUAUAUCCCAAAAUCCGGUCGUGACAAGAACUCCAAGUUAAAUGUACUCAAAGCAACCACCAAAAUCUCUCAAUACCGGUCACAACAAGUAAUCAGAAUACAACAGCAACAAGUACCAGGAAUAAAUCACAUAAGUAUCUAGAACAGAGAAAGAAAAUGUAGAAGUGGCACGAGGCAUGAAUGGUGUCUUGAGUUGCUGCUGCAUCGGCCGUAACAGAGGCCGAGGAACUCGCUGUGAUGGGUUGCAGCAUCUGUGCUGAUGCAGUCUCAGCCACAGGCUCCUCCUCACACCUGAAGUGAAACACGCAGGUUGGUCAGCAGAACUACAGCAGUUUAGCCUUUGGAGAUGACGAAUAACUCAAAUUACCCUUGAUAUCUGUUUCAAAAAAAUUAACCUUCUAGUAUGGCCAUGUUAAUACAUAAAAUUAACCUUUUCCCUUUUACUUUCUAUGAAAAAUGUAAGAGACCAGAAUUCUACAUGCAGCUUCUGUAGACAUAAAUCCAAGAGAAAUACAUCUCUGUACGAGAAUAACCCCAAAUAUGAACAGAACAAUUCGGUAUCGCCUAGACGAGGAGUUGAAAAUGCAUGAGAUGCUAUUGUAUGAUACAAUUAUAUACUCCCAUAAAAGAAGUGUUGUUUAAGUACACUCUCUUCUCUUUAUUCCGUCUAUUAAGUAUAUACUCCCAUAAUAGAUAAAAGAAGUAUAUACUCCUAUAAAAGACUUCCAGCUGCCUUUCAGUGCCUACGUACAGUGCUUUGCAGUCAGGUUUAGGACUAGCACAGUGAAAACAAAACUAUCUACUUGCUGUACUUGUUAUGUUAAACCAUCGAAAUCAAUCUGGUGUGACACAGGUGGGUUAUGCUAUCCACGACAUGAGCACUGCACUUGUUAAUAUCGACUGCAGUAAUGAGGGACUGUUCAAUGCUACGAUUCAACCACGGAGUAAACUCAAAUGAGCGUGGAAGAAGAGCUCACCUUGUUGAAGGCGAGGAUCUGGCCGUAGCUUUUCUUCACGCAUUCUUGAGAGGCUUCCGAAUUUGAAUCAUAUCCUCACCAGAACUUGGACUUGGCGCAGAUCUCGCCGGUGGCCCAGAGCUUCAUGCGGUAGAUCCUGGGAUGCUCCUCGGUCGGCGUCGGCAGGCCCCUCCCGACCACCUGGUACUGGUGGAACUGCACGAGCGCGAGCGCCAAAUGGUCAGUUUAGAUCACACGACGAGAACUAAUCCCCGUGAUAACGGUGCCUACGAGUAAGAGGGGCUCACCCUGACCGUGACCAUCCUGGCCAGAGUUGCUGAGGUCGCCAUGCAUCGGUCUGGGGCGAUGGGAUUGCUGCUGUGCGAUGCUGCGACGGGCUUCUGUACACGGGAGCCGCGCCAGCCUAGGGUCCCGCCGGUGAGCUCCGACGAGGGGAGGGAGGAGGGAGGCGACCCCCAUCACCAUGGCUGCCAAAUCCCUCCCUCCGGAUCGAAGCUGUGUCCGCUAGAUCAGCGUGGCCAAGGCCGCCAAUCCGCCUCGCCUGCUCGAACUGGGCCUCGAGGAGAGGAGGUGGUGGCCGUCGACGGUGGGGANNNNNNNNNNNNNNNNNNNNNNNNNNNNNNNNNNNNNNNNNNNNNNNNNNNNNNNNNNNNNNNNNNNNNNNNNNNNNNNNNNNNNNNNNNNNNNNNNNNNNNNNNNNNNNNNNNNNNNNNNNNNNNNNNNNNNNNNNNNNNNNNNNNNNNNNNNNNNNNNNNNNNNNNNNNNNNNNNNNNNNNNNNNNNNNNNNNNNNNNNNNNNNNNNNNNNNNNNNNNNNNNNNNNNNNNNNNNNNNNNNNNNNNNNNNNNNNNNNNNNNNNGGUGGGGGAGGCCGACGGCGGGGUUGGGAUGGUAGAGAGAGGGAGGUCUGGGUCAGGGAGAGGGGGAUCUGGGAGGAGGUGGCGGCGGCGAGGAGUUGAGGGAGGAGGAGUGUGGGUGCGGGUUAGGGUUUGGGUUGCGGAUGGAUGGCUGGAUGGAGAGGUGGAGAGUUGGACGGAUGGAUGGGCGCCAUGUCAUCGAUCCAUGUGACAACUAAACCCACCAAUGAGAAUAGAGCACAUAUAAUUGUGUUUUCCUUUUGUUUUUCUUCUACUUUUACACAUGAAAAAAAAUCAAAAAAAUGGUCUCACAUUAUGCACAAGUUUGCAUCUUGAAUGAAAAACAAUGUUGCCUAAGAAAUUUUUCAUUUUCGUUGCACGAAAUAUUCAUUUUCCAUUUCUCGAGUGCCUAAAAUAAGUUUUUUUGUGAAGGGCCUACCAAAUAUUUGUUGCAAAAUUGGACCAAAUCUAUUUUCUAAAAUAUUGGGCCAUAUUUAAUGCACAAUUGAUCAAAUGGUUGGGUUUCAAAAGCUUUUAUCCACCUCUCGUGAAAAAGACAAAUUUCCGUCGAUCCAGUUGGAAGCGGGUCAAAUUUGAACUGCAGCUACCUCAUAGUUUGCUAUUUAUUUUUUCCAAAAAUCAUUUCUAGGUACAAAAGUAUCUAUUUAAUCAGAGAAACACCAAAGUUUUCCAAGAUUCAACCACUAGCUAGGAACGGUCAAGCCCGCCAUUUUGACCGCAUUUUGAAACGGGCAUAAAAAAAUAAAAAAAAUUCAAAAAAUUGGAAAACCUUCGCAUUGUGUCAUCAUAUGUGACCAAGUUUCCAGGAAAAAUAAUAAACUUGUAAUACGGCAAUUAUUUUAAAAAAGUGUUCUCACAAACGAGCUAUCACGUGUGGAGAUCAAUGGCGUUCAAGCCAAAUGAUCAAUCUUAUGGCCACAUUUAUGGCAUAGUUUGUUCAAAUGAUCUCAUAUUGUGCACAAGGGUGCAUAUUGGAAUGGCAAACAAUGUUGCCUAAGGAAGUUUUCAUUUUCUUUGGACAAAAAAACCAUUUUCCAUUUUUCGAGUGCCCAAAAGGAGGUUUUUUUGUGAAGGACCUCCCAAAUAAUUGUUGCAAAAUUGGACCAAAUCAAUUUUCUAAAAUACUAGGACAUAUUUAAUGCAUAAUUGACCAAAUGGUUGGGUGCAAAAACUUUUGAUCCACCUCUGGUGAAAAAGACAAAUUUCCGCCGAUUCAGUUGGAAGCGGGUCAAAUUUGAACUGCGGCUGCCUCAUAGUUUGCUCUUUAUUUUUUCCAAAAAUCAUUUCUAGGUACAUAAGUAUCUAUUUAAUCAGAGAAACAUCAAAAGUUUUCCAAUAUUCAGCCACUAGCUAGGAACGGUCAUUACCGCCGUUUUGACCGCAUUUUGAAACGGGCAUAAAAACUUCAAAAAAA
rnacentral:lncRNA from 1 species